GUUGCUUUACUAAGGUUCACAUGCCCCAGAUCAAGGUAUUUUAAAGAAGAAAGACCAGAAAGCCAAUUUAAAUUAGAAACCCUCAUUGGAUAACCUCCAUUAAGAUCAAGAUAACGUAACUGUGAUAAAUUUCCAAGAUGAGGAGGAAUCAUCCCACCAAGUUGUGCACGAGAGAGAUUAAGGUAUCUCAACCUUUCAAAUGAGCCCAAGAAAUUUGGAAUUGGAAUUCCUUGAAAAUCAUUAAAACUUAGGUCCAAGUAAUUUAAAUGUUUCAAGUCAAGUAAGGAAUCACUUAUCUCACCACCCAAACGUGAGAAGGCACCACCAGAUUUGAGGUCAACCUUAACAACAUGCCCUGUUUGGUUGUUGCAAUCCACACCUUUCCACUUGCAGCAAUCUGCACCAACCCAGGAAGAAAGCCUACCUGAAGGAUCUUUCAGUCCAUGUUUGAAUUCAAGAAGCGCUUUCCGCUCUACCUCAAUGCAGCCCUUGUUCAUACCACCAUCAAUGGAAUUGAUAAUAGUAGCUUGAGCUAGGAGAAGCUCGAGAAACAGAGAAAGGAGAAAAAGAGUAAGAAGUAGAAGGGUGGUUUUCCAACUUGCCAUUUGAUGAAUGCAAAGUUGCAAAGUUGUUAGUGGGUGCUAUAUAAAUAAUUUAGUCAACUAUUUUAAGUCUUUUGGCCGCCAUAAAUAUAGAAGAAAUUAUCAAGUUCAAUCACAAUCGGAUCACAUAUCUCUUCUGUCCCUGAGUAAAUUAAUUCAAGACAUUAAUUACCAAGUUUUUGGUCCAAAGAAAAAAAGAAUUUUUUUUAUUCCUAAUUUACACUCAUCUAAUUAUUAACUAUAAUAAAAAAUUUCAAUUAAUUAAAAAAAUAAAAUUUAGAUUUUAAUAUUUUUCCCAAAUUAAAAUUUCAAAAAUUAAUAAAUUAAUCUCAACUAUGUUAUUCAUAAAUCCCAAGAUAGGUUACAUAAAAAUAAGUUUUAACUAAUAAAAUUUCUAACAUUUUAUUAACUACCAAGUAUAAUUAGAAAUCCUAAUUAUUAUGUAAUUAUCAAUUUUCUACUAAUUAUAUAAUUAAUUAUUAUGAAAUUUUAUUAUACUAAUAAAUUAUGAUAUUUCGGUAUAUUUUAAAAUAUAUUAAAUUACCAUUUUUAAAUUAUUAAUUUUAAAAUCAAAAUAAAAAAUAUAAUAACUAUUUUUUAGAUAUUUUUAAUAUGUAAACAUAAAUAAGUAUAACAUUUCAAACAUUAAUAAAAACAAGUAGUUUAACACUUAACAAUAUUUAUAUAAUAAUAAGAAAUAAAUAAUCUAAACGCUUAAUCAGUCUACUAUAUUUAAGUCAAAGUUACGUCUAUUCAAAUUUCAAACAAAAAAUAAUUAAAUACCACAUUACACUUACUAUGCAUUACUUAAGCCAUUUAUAUAUGUAAUAAAGAAUUUUUAAAUAAUUUUCAUGAUAUUUUAUUUUCGUUUAGAGGAGAAAGUUUCAAGUAGCUUUCUUCAAUUAUUUAAAGUUAGUGACUGUCCAUAGAAGAAAAUUUUGACAUGAAUCUAAAAAGAAAAACAAUUUUCACACAAGUCUAAAAAUAUAUUUUAGAGAAAAUUAAUACAUCAUGUGUUAAAACAUUAUUUGAAUUUCUUCUCCUCUUGAUUGUUUUCUUAGACAAUGACUUCAAAGACUUUUGUGACAUGUUGACUGAAACAAAGUCCUUGUCUAUUUGGUUUGAGUUAGGAAAAAAAAGGGAAGUUGCAUUUUUUUUUUAAUGAAAAAUUUUAUUUUUUCUAAAUAAAAAAAUUCUUUCUUUUUUUAAAAUAAAAAAUUUCCUUAUCUAACCAAACCAAUUUUAACCAAUUCAUUGUAGCCUAAUUAGUUUAGUUUUUCAUUUAAAGACGUUUGGUUUAGCUUGCAAAAAAAAAAAAAAAUACAAAACAAAACAAAAAACAAAAACAUGGUUAAAUAAGUGGUAUUUAUUUUUUUGUUUAAAAUCUGAAUGGAAUAUUAUUAAGCAUUUAGUUCAUUUAUUUUUUUUAUUAAUGCUAAAUAUUUUUAAGUGUUAAAUUGCUUGUUUUUAGUAAUGUAUAAAGGCUUAAACUUAUUUAUUUUUACACAUUAAAAAUAACUAUAAAAUUAGUUAUUAUUAUUAUUAUUAUUUUCAAAUUAAUAAUUUAAGAAAUAGUAAUUUAAUAUAUUUACAACUAUCUCAAAAUAUUAUAAUUCAUUACCAUACAAAAAUUAUAUAAUAAUUAAUUAUGUAAUUAUAGAAAAUUAAUAAUUAGAUAAUUAUUAGGAUUUUUAGUUAUGCUUGGUUGUUAAGAAAAUGUUAAAAAUUUUCUAAGUUAAAAUUUAUUUUUAUAUAAUAUAUUUUCAGAUUUAUGAAUAUUGUUGAGAUUAAUUAUUAAUUUUUUUCUUUUAAAUUUGGGAAAAAUAAGAAAGACUAAAAUUUUAGUUUUCAAAAUUAAUUGGAAUUUUUUAUUCUAAUGAAUAAUCAGAUAAGUGUAAAUUCAAGGACAUGAACACCCCAAUUUUUUUAUAAUGACUAAUUAUGCAAAGUGUAGAAAAAUAAUAAUUAGAUAAUUAUUAGGAUUUCUAAUUAUGCUUGGUUGUUAAAAAAUUUAUAUGUUAAAACUUAUUUUUAUAUAACUCUCUUCAAAUUUAUGAAUAUUGUUGAAAUUAAUUUAUUAAUUUUUAUUUUUAAUUUGGGAAAAAUGUAAAAAUCUAAAUUUUAUUUUUUAAAUUAAUUGGAUUUUUUUUAUUCUAGUGAAUUAUUAAAUGAGGGUAAAUUAGAAAUCUAAGUUCAAGGACAUUAGCCAACCAAACUGACCUCAAACCUAACCAAUCCAAUCUUAUUACUUUUUAUUUCCAUUUAAAGAUGUUUGUUUCUAUUAAAAAAAAAUGAUUACAUUGGUUUAGUGUUCAUGAACCAAUCAAAGCUAAACCAACCAAAUUUAUCUAUUAUUUAUCAAAAAAAUAAAAAUAAAAACGAUUACAUUGGUUUGGUAUUCAUUUCAAAACAACGAACCAAUAGAAACCGAUCUAAUCGAACCUAUCUAUUAUAUAUUUGACUUAAAGGGUGCAAGUUAUUUUUCGACUUCAUAUUUUGCUUCUCAUAAUUUACUAUAAAUUUAUGAAUUUAUUUUUUAGUUGUCAUAUUUUUUAAAAAUAUUUUAUUUUUUCAAAAUAAAUUCACUAAAUAUUAUCUCACAUGUAUUUGUGGUUCACUAAAUUUUUUAUAAUCAAAUUAAUAAAUUUAUAAAAGAAAAAUAUUAUAUUUUCUCCAUUUUGUUCACUUGAUAAACAUAUCUACAAAAAUGUCAAACGGAUGUUUGAAAUUUACCUCUUUUUUUUGUUGUGUAAUAUUUGGUUGAUUGUAUUUAUAAAGCAUUAUAAAUCCCAAGAAAGUACAUAAAGUCCUAAAUUAUUAUGAAUGAAAUAAAAUUAUUAAUUUAAAUUUAUUCUUUAUAUUAAAAAGUUCAAAUAGGUUAAAUGAAUUUGAAGUAAUUUAUAAAAAUAAUUUAUUAAUUUUAAAUCUAUGUUGUAUUUUCCUUUCUUUUCUUUCCUUUUAUUUUUUUAUUUUUUGUAUUUUUUUUUCUUGUAUUUCCCCCAAAUUUUGUCCAAACCAAACAUAAACUUAAAAAAUAUGUCAAACCAAUACUAGUGUUUGAGACUUAGAAAUUUUUUUAAAAGGAUUGGAUCAAGAUUCAAUCACAAUUAGACCACACAUAGCCCUUUUACCCAUAAGUAAAUUAAUUUAAGAUAUUUUAUUUAUUAAGAUAAUUAUCAAGUUUUUGAAACAUGAAGUUGUUGAACAUCCAAGAAAAAGAAAAAAGUAUUUUAUUUAUUUUUUUGUCUGACACACAGACUAAGAACUUUUCUUCAAUUAAAAGUCAAAAUGCCACAAAAUUCCUUGAAGUCAUUGUCUAAGGAGAACAAUUACCAAGAAAAGAAAUUCAAAGAAUGCUUUAAUGAAUGGUGUAUAUAUUUUCUCUAAAAUGCAUUUUUAGACUCCUACUACAAUUUUUUCUUGUGGGAAAAAAUAAAAAAUAAAGCUUUAUUUUUUUGCCUAACUCACACGCAAUAGAUUAAGGCCUUUGUUUUAGUCAAGAGUCAACAUAACACAAAAGUUCUUGAAGUCCUUAUCUAAGAAAAAUAAUCACAUUAUAAUAAAUAAUAUUUUAGGUUAUAUUUGGUUCGAAAAAUAGAAAAAAAAAAUGUAAGGAAAAAUAAAUUUUUCAUAUUUAAUUGUCUUAUGAAAAAUAUCAAAGAAAAUCACAUAUAAUUAAAAUUAAUUAAAAACUUAUGUAAUUUUAAAUUAUUUAAUCUUUAUAUUGAUGAAUUAAAAUAAAUAAAAUGAGUUUGAAGUAAUAAAAAAAAUAAUUUAUCAAUUUUUAGUCUAUUUUAUUUUUCUUCUAUUUUUUUUUUUGCAUUUUUUUUCCUUUGUAUUUUUUUUCAAAUUUUCUGAGAACCAAACAUAGCCUUAGUAUAUAUUUUCUCCAAAAAACAUUUCUAGACUUCUAUAUUUUUCUCUUAUGAACCACUAACUAAUGUCAAUUAAUCGAUGAAAGCAACGUGAAUGAUGAAAAUUCUUCCUACUCCAUGUUAAGCGAUAUGGCCAAUAAAGGAAAAUAAAAUAUCAUAAAAAUUAUUUAAAUAUAUAUAUAUUUAAUUCUUUAUUAUUAUUAUUAUUAUUAUUAUUCUACAUAAAGGGUUAGAAAACUACAUAACAAGUCUAUGCCUUUUGAAAAAAUGUUUAUUAUUAUUACAAAAUAAACAUUUUGUGACGAUUGAUUAUGUAAUAGGUUAACAUUUAUUUUUAUGUAAUGUAUCUUUUGAUUUAUGAAUUUUUAAUUGAAAUUUAUUUUUGUAAUGUAUCUUUUGAUCUAUGAAUUUGUAAUUGAAAUUUAAUUUUCAUAUCUGGUGGCAGUGCCAGUCACAAAACAAAAAAGUGAUGAAGACCUUUCGGCCCUUCAUGGGCCAUGUAUCACAAGCGUAUGAGCCAAUCAUGGACCCCAUCGUGUCCUCAACUUUAACCGUGGCUAUAAAUCUAAAUACUGAUGUAGAACCCUAUCUGAAAAUGGUCCAUUCAAUAGGCAUUAGGCACCUACCACAAGAAAAUUAAUGAAAACAAAAAAUGAGGCUUCAUUUUUUUUGCUUAACUCACACGCAAUAGACUAGUGACUUUGUUUUAGUCAAGAGUCAACAUGUCAGAAAAGUCUUUAAAGUCAUUGUCUAAGGAAAAUAAUCACAAAAUAAUAAAUAAUACUUUAAUAUAAGAUGUAUAUAUUUUCUUCAAAAGGCAUUUCUACACUUCUACAAUUUUCUCGGACCACUUAACAACUUCAAUUAAUUGAAGAAAGUAUUAUUAUUAUUAUUAUUAUUAUAAAGGGUUGAAAAAAUGCAUAACAAGUCUAUGUGGUAUUUAUUUAUUUAUUUUUGUCUAAAAUCUAAAUAAACCUAAAUUAUUAUUUUUUUAUUUUAAUUCUAAAAUUAAUAAGUUAAGAAAUAGUGAUUUAAUAUAUUUACAAAUAUAUCAAAAUUCUUAAUUUAUUACCAUAAUAAAAAAUUUCUAACAAUUAAUUAUGUAAUUGGUAGAAAAUUUAUAAUUAGAUAAUGAUUAGGAUUUUUAUUUAUGUUUGGUUGUUAAGAAACUAUUAGAAGUUUUCUAAGCUAAAACUUAUUUUUAUGUAAUGUAUUUUAUGAUUUGGUGUUGAGAUUAAUUUGUUAACUUUUUAUUUUUAAUUUGGGAAAAAAUUAAAUAUUAAUUUUGGAAAUUAAACAGUGGAUAAUAUAAUGAUAGAAUAAUAUUUUCUCCAUUGUGUUUGUUUAAUAGGUAGAUUCACAGAAUAUAUGAGACUUGUAUUUGAUAUUUACCAAUUUUUUCAAAUGAUUGGAUUAAGGUUCAGUCAUGAUUGGAUGAUAUAUAUUGCAUACUCUUCUAUUUAUGACUAAAUCAAAUGAAUGAUAAAAAUUACCAAGUUUUUCAAACAUCAAGCCAUCAUAAAAAAAAAAAUUAUUUUUUAUUUUUUUAAUUUAUUGGAUUUUUUUAUUCUAGUUAAUUAUUAAAUGAGGGUAAAUUAGAAAUCUAAGUUCAAGGACAUUAGUUAACCAAACUGACUUCAAACCUAACCAAUCCAAUCUUAUUACUUUUUAUUUCAAUUUAAAGAUGUUUGUUUCUAUUUAAAAAAAAAAAAAAAAGAUUACAUUGGUUUAGUGUUCAUGAGCCAAUCAAAGCUAAACCAACCGAAUUUAUCUAUUAGUUAUCAAAAAAAUAAAAAAAUAAACGAUUACAUUGGUUCGGUAUUCAUUUCAAAACAACGAACCAAUAGAAACUGAUAUAAUCGAACUUAUCUAUUAUAUAUUCGACUUAAAAGGUGCAAAAUUUGAAGUUAUUUUUCGACUUCAUAUUUUGUUUCUCAUAAUUUACUAUAAAUUUAUGAAGUUAUUUUUUAGUUGUCAUAUUUUUUAAAAAUAUUUUAUUUUUUCAAAAUAAAUUCACUAAAUAUUAUCUCACAUACAUUUGUGGUUCACUAAAUUUUUAAUAAUCAAAUUAAUAAAUUUGUAAAAGAAAAAUAUUAUAUUUUCUCUCCAUUUUGUUCACUUGAUAAACAUAUCUACAAAAAUGUCAAGCGGAUGUUUGAAAUUUACCUCUUUUUUUUGUUGUGUAAUAUUUGGUUGAUUGUAUUUAUAAAGCAUUAUAAAUCCCAAGAAAGUACACAAGUCCUAAAUUAUUAUGAAUGAAAUAAAAUUAUUAAUUUAAAUUUAGUUUUUAUAUUAAAAAGUUAAAAUAAGUGCAAUAAGUUUAAAAUAGUUUAUAAAAAUAAUUUAUUCACUUUAAAUCUAAGUUAUAUUUUCUUUUAUUUUUCUUUUUUUUAUAUAUAUAUUUUUUCCUUUGCAUUUCCCCCAAAUUUUGUCCAAACCAAACAUAAACUUGGAAACUAGUGUUUGAGACUUAGAAAUUUUUUUAAAAGGAUUGGAUCAAGAUUCAAUCACGAUUAGAUCACACAUAGCCCUUUUGCCCAUAAGUAAAUUAAUUUAAGAUAUUUUAUUUAUUAAGAUAAUUAUCAAGUUUUUGAAACAUGAAGUUGUUGUACAUCCAAGAAAAAGAAAAAAAAUAUUUUAUUUAUUUAUUUUGUCAGACACACAUAGACUAAGAACUUUUCUUCCAUUAAAAGUCAAGCUGCCACAAAAGUCCUUAGUCAUUGUCUAAGGAGAAUAAUUACCAAGAAAAGAAAUUCAAAUAAUGCUUUAAUGAAUGGUGUAUAUAUUUUCUCUAAAAUGCGACAAUGAGUAACGUCAAUUAAUCGAUGAAAGCGACGUGAAUGAUGAAAAUUCUUCCUACUUCAUGUUAAGCGAUAUGACCAAUAAAGGAAAAUAAAAUAUCAUAUAUAUAUAUAUAUAUAUAUAAUCAAUUCUUUAUUAUUAUUAUUAUUAUUAUUAUUAUACAUAAAGGGUUGGAAAACUGCAUAACAAGUCUAUGCCUUUUAGAAAAAUGUUUAUUAUUAUUACAAAUUAAACAUUGCAUAUGACCUUGUCCUGGGUGUCUAUGGUAUCAGAGCCAUCAGGAGGGGAAGUUGGGUUUGUUUUGGCCUAUCCUAGGAUAGGUAGCAGUGUGCCUAGGAGCGCGAGCCCUGCCAGUUGAGCCGUUGUUAGCCGUGGAUAGGCGUUUGUUAGGCUGUAAGAGGGUUGGGGUGACGUCUCAUAAGGUUUGUCCAUCUGCUAUUAGGCUCUAGAUCAAAACCCUAAAAUGAAUUCAAUUUUCAGAACCAUGUCUAGGAGAUCCAGUGAUUCUUAAGAUACUGUUGUAAACAGUGAAGAGAUCAAUUAUCCUAAGAUCCAAAAUGAUUUAGAUGAUUGGAAGUUACCCAAGGUGUCUAAUCAAGAAAUUUAUAAGAAAUGAACCUUUAAGUUCUUCACAGAUUAUACCAUCAAGACCUCUGAAAUGUCAGUCAGCUUAGAACAAGACGACCAAGUCAUAAGACUUCUAGAUAACAGAUCCGUUGAAAAGCAUAAGAAAGAUGGCUAUAAUUUCAUACACUUUGGUAUGAUUCAAGUAGCAGCUAAGCCUUUGACAAGAUUAGGUUUAAACACCUCUAUUGUCAUGUGUUUAAGGGAUAAUAGGCAUCUCGAAUAUCGAGAUUCUAUUAUAGGCGCAGUCCAAGCUGGACUGAAUGAUGGCCCAGUUUAUUUCCAGUGCUAUCCUAACUUCACAGUUAGAAUAAGAGAUGCAGACAUCUUAGAUUCCGUUGUCCUGCAUAUUAAGACCCAUGGCUUUAAGAUCAAACCAGGAAACAAUCCUGUUUCAAUCAUAACCAGGUUUGCCUAUAAGAGCAUGAACACAAGCGUUGGAUCUGGGGCUCUUUGCACCAGUCCUAAAGGUGAGACCACUUACUUUCACUCAGAUAUGCUAGAUAAGUCAGAUUUCAUCAUCUCCAAGAAGAUCUUGUGGAAAGAUGUUGAGUUUCCUGAAAAUUGGCAUUUUGCUAAUGCUGUUCCAGCCAUUGCACAGCGAUCUGAAAGUAUUGAACAAAUUGUUCAAUAUCCAGAUGGAGGAGGAGAACUAGUUUUCUCCAACUCCUUCAGACAUUCCAGUAGUCCUAGAGUUUCAGUUUAUGAACCCUCUAGAGCUUCAAGCUCUUCUUUCCCAGUUAGAACCACUAGGGAAGAAGAAGGAUCCAGCUCAGGAAAUCCUAAGAACAUUAAGCUAACAGGUGUUAGAAGUCACACCAAUGUGGUUAGACCAUUUUACACUGAGGAAAAUGAGUCUACUCAGGAAUCCCAACAGGAUGAGUCCCCUGUAAUGUCUCUUUCCUAUUCCCAGAUGAUUAACACAACAAGCCUAAGUGAUGAGGACUUUAAGAUCAACAAGGAUCUCUUAAGAAAGGACUUCUAUUCUGAAGCCAAUAAGCAAAGAAAUGAUUGGUUCUUUAGCACUGUUCCUAAGGUCAUUAGAACCAUUUACCAAGAAGAAUUUUAUGCCUACUUAAGACAAGAAAAGAAAAAUAUUAAGUUUUUGAUUUGGUUUGAACUCUUCAAACAAGAGGAAUAUCCAGAUUAUCCUUGUAAGCGUAUUAAUAACACCUCUACAAAAACUAAGAUAUGGAAAACCAGUGACAACAUUGUUAUAGAAUCCAUUCAUCCUCCUGAAGCUAAGAUAGAAAAGAAUAUUAAUGGAACCAUAGUCACAGCUUCACCUUUUAAGACUAAGCCAGAGGAUAAAGGAACUGCUAGUGCAAACGAUAUUAGAAGGAUUAUGGAACAAAUCAAUUAUACUAAUAUGUUUCUCAUAACCCUUGGAAAUCAAGUCAACAGAGUUGAGGAGAUUAUUGAAACUCAGGAUCACCUUAAGAAGCCUUUUGUUAAGAAUGAUAAUAAGCCUUUGUUUAAGCCUUUUGAAUUAUCUAAGAAAUUCUAGGAAAAUCCUCAAAUUGAUCAAGCUUUCAUUGAUAGAAUAAGCCAAAAGGUUAAAGAUAAUCUUGUUAUCCCUUAAACACCUCAAACUUUUGCUAUCCCUGAAACACCUCUACCUUCCCAUAGGAGAAUCCUUUUGGUUAAAAGGAAUAUUAGUCCAAAAGCAAAGGAUAAUGGACUAAUUAGGUUAACCAGAGAACCUUCUAUCCAAAACCCUUUUAAGGAUCAUGGUGAUAAACAAGAGAAAAGGAUUAUCCUUAAUACCCUGACUAUUAAAGAUCUUCAAGAAGAAAUAGGGCAGUAUAAGAAGGAUAUUAAGAACCUAAGACAACCUACAAGCUCAGAAUUCCCUAUCCCUCAGGAUUAUAUCAACAGGGUAGGUUUUUACCACAGAAGUCCUAAAAAGGAAGACUUUGAAGAAGUUCUUGAAUCUUCACAAGACAAUAGUGAUAAGAUAAAUGCAUACUUAAAUACUAUUAGUAAAGUUAUCUUCCAAAGGUGGGAAGUCUCCCUUACUAUAGAAUUUAAGAAUAAAUUUAUCCUUGAUAUUAUUGCUUUAAUUGAUUCAGGUGCAGCUUUGAAUUGUCUACAAGAAGGUCUUGUACCUACCCAACUUUAUGAGAAAACUAGGCAAACCCUUUUUGGUGCUAAUGGUAAAAAGCUUAUUAUCAAGUACAAGCUAUCGAAUGCCCAUAUUUGUAACCAAGACAUUUGCAUUAAGAAAACCUUCAUUCUUGUUAAAGAUCUCAAGGAGAAAGCUCUCCUUGGAGUCCCUUUCUUAAGCUCCAUCUUUCCCAUGUGGGUAGAUGAUCAAGGUAUAAGAACUAAGCUUUUAGAUAAGGAAAUUCUGUUUGAAUUUGCCAAUCCACCUGGAGAAAGAAGUAUAAACACCAUAAAAGAUCAGGUGAUUAAGGCUAAGCAAAAUCAUAUUAAUCUCUUAAAACAAGAGAUUGUUUUGGUUAGAAUAGAAAAUCAAUUGAAGGUUAAGAAAACUCAAGAUACCAUAGAAAAUUUUAAGAAUAAAAUUAUUAGGAAAGUAUGUUCUAACAUUCCUAAUGCAUUUUGGCACAGGAAGCAGCAUGAGGUAGAAUUACCUUAUGAGCCUGAUUUUAGUGAGAAAAAUAUUCCCACGAAAGCAAGACCAAUCCAAAUGAAAAAGGAUUUGUUAAGCUAUUGUGAAAAAGAAAUCCAGGAUCUCAUAGAUAUGAAGUUGAUAAGGAAGUCUAAAUCCCCUUGGAGUUGUUUAGCCUUUUAUGUUCAGAAACAAACUGAACUUGAAAGAGGAACACCUAGACUAGUCAUCAACUAUAAGCCCCUCAAUGAUGUUUUAAGAUGGAUCAGGUAUUCUAUCCCAAAUAAAAAAGACCUCCUUCAAAGAUUAGUUAAGUCCAAAGUUUUCUCUAAGUUUGACAUGAAAUCAGGAUUUUGGCAAAUCCAGAUUGCGGAAAAAGAUAAGUACAAAACAACCUUUGUGGUCCCAUUUGGUCAUUAUGAGUGGAAUGUAAUGCCCUUUGGCCUUAAGAAUGCACCUUCUGAGUUUCAAAACAUAAUGAAUGAAAUCUUUAACCAGUUUUCUGAUUUCAUUAUUGUUUACAUUGAUGAUGUUUUGAUUUACUCAGAUUUUAUUGAACAACAUUAGAAACAUCUCAAUAAGUUUGUUAAGACUGUUAAGAGCAAUGGUUUGAGUUUGUCAGCCACUAAGAUUAACCUCUUUCAAACUAAGGUAAGAUUCUUAAGUCAUCAUAUUCACCAAGGAACAUUCACUCCCAUUCAAAGAUCAAUUGAGUUUGCUGAUAAGUUUCCUGAUGAGAUUAAGGAUAAGAAACAAUUGCAACGUUUCUUAGGAAGCCUUAAUUAUGAGUCAGAUUUCAUACAAGAUUUAAGCCAGUUGUGUGCCCCUUUAAGACAAAGACUUAAGAAAAAUCCAGUUCCUUGGAAUGAGGAUCAUACCAAGAUUGUCAAGAUAGUCAAAUCUAGAGUUAAGACCUUACCGUGUCUUGCCCUAGCUGACACUACAACCUUUAAAAUUGUUGAGACUGAUGCUUCAGAUAUAGGAUAUGGUGGUAUUCUUAAACAGAAAAUCGACACUCAAGAAAAGUUGGUUAGGUAUACUUCAGGAACUUGGAAUAAUGCCCAACUCAACUAUAGCACCAUUAAAAAAGAAAUUUUAAGCAUUGUUUUAUGCAUUUCAAAAUUUCAAGAUGAUCUUUUAAAUCAAGAAUUUUUAUUAAGGGUUGAUUGUUUAUCGGCAAAAUCAGUUUUGCAAAAAGAUGUUAAAAAUAUAGCUUCUAAGCAUAUUUUUGCUAGAUAGCAAGCCAUUUUAAGCAAUUUUGAUUUUCAAAUUGAAUAUAUUAAAGGAAAAAAUAACUCAAUCCCUGAUUUCCUAACUCGUGAAUUUUUGUAGGAUUCACAAGAUCAUGGCUCCCAAAAAAGAAAAGCAACCCUUUAAGAAAUCAUCAUCUUACAUGAAACAUCGUUUAGUCUUAUCAAAAAAAUUCAAACCUUUGUAUUAUGAUUAUGAUUCGGGAUCUCAAGGAUCUUCUUCUAAUCCUAUUCCUCCAGUUCUUAAGCAUCCUUCCUCCCCUGUUGUGGAAGAAGGAAAUAUUUCUGGUUCUCUACCUUUAGUGGAAGAACCCAUCCCCUUAGACUCCUCUACUUUUGAUACUAACCCCUUAUCUGUUCAUAAGAGUAUUUGUGAUUUGCAGGCUAGGUGCAGGACCCUUGAAAAAAGGCUAGAAAUAGCUAAUUUUCCUAAAGAAGAUAUAAGCCAAGCCCCUUUUUCCCCACUGGAAAUUGGUGAGAAAAAACCAUUCACCCCACUGGUGGAUGAGAAAUUAAGUAAGGAUGAGCAGGAGUGCAUUAUCUUUAGAAUGUUUCACCAAAGGACUCAGAUCAUGUCCACUCUUAAGCCAGAUGAUAUUUAUCAGCUAAUUUAUGAAAAAGCCAAGACCAGUGCAGAAGAAAAACAAGUUUUUAUUUCGGCCUAUCUUCAGGAUCUGCACAUUUAUCUCUCAGUUAUUCCUGGUCUCAGUGUUCCAGGAUUGAAUUUGAUUAAGGAAAUGGAAUUUGAUGGUUCAAAAAUUUGCAGAAAUUAUAGUGAACCACUUCUUCAUCAACAUGACAACAGGCAAUUUUGCAACUGCAAUAGAAAUUUCACUAUCAGCAGAGCCUGCAUUGAUCUGCAGUAUUACCAGCCAAUUAACCUUGCUUUCAAAGGAGAUGUUUUAAUCCUAACCCCUGAAAAGCUUCUUGAUUAUGGGUUAGUCUACCAACUUAUCUGCUCUGAUCCAUGUCAAGCUAGCAAUUUUGGUAGAAAGGUUAACCUAAGCUUAAUCCAAGGUUUUAAGUUAAACAAGAAGUUUGCUGACGCUAUUUUUAUUAGCAAAGCUCCUGAAUGGAUUUCUAGAGGCAACAUUCUUCCAGCCCAACACUAUGUUAAUCUUCAUUACCAGAAUAGAAGACCUACACUUUUGUCCAGUCCCUUAGUACAAGCCGAUAUUUGCGCAGAGCCAAUUAUUAAGCAAAUCAAGCAUUGGAGAGCCAGAGUCAUCAGCAAAGAUUUUGAAGCCUACCCUAAAAACAUGGGGCAUCUCAUUGCGGCGGAUUCCCUACAUCAGAUAUUUUGCAGUAAAAAGAUUGACCAUUUACCAUUAAAAUCCACUAUUCAAGAUACUCAGCUCCUAAUGGAUCAUCGCUCAAACUAUAUUCCUCCCUGAUCAGCCGUCUUCUCAGCCGAAAGCAAGAUUCGGGGUCAAAAGUCAAAAGUGCUACAGUUCCCUCUUACUGUUCACUUUUACUAUUCAAGCACUAUUCAAGCACGAGUUUACUGUUCAUUAUUACUAUUCAAGAUUCCUUUUUUGCCUAUUUAAGGAGGCUCGGUUCUCAUUUGUAAACACGCUUAAUUUUCUCUCCCAAGCUUAUGCUCUCCCUUCUCUCUUCUUUAUCUCUCAUCAUGUAAGCCCUUCAAGCUUUCAAGCUUUCUCUAAGCUUUCCUACCCUUGUCCAUUGUAAGAUAUUUCUCCUUAUGUAUAAUAUAAAUAUGUUUUGAUUACCUCCUAUAUGGAUGGUUUUUAAUUAAGUUUUGUUUUCAUUUCAUUUUAUGUUCUUAUAAUAUGUUUUGAUUACCUCCUAUAUGGAUGGUUUUUAAUUAAGUUUUGUUUUCAUUUCAUUUUAUGUUCUUAUACCUCCUACAUGGAUGGUUUUAAUUAAGCUUUGAUUUUAAUUUUAUGUUUUUUAUUUUGUACCGCCUACAUGGUCGGUUUUAAGCUUAUCAUGAACUAACAAGUUUUUUGGUUCCUUCUCUUUAAAUUUCUUGUUGGAUAUCUUUUGUAUUUUCUAACCCUCUUCUUUGUUUUGAAUCAUGGCAUAAUUCCUGUUUUCAUUGCAUAUGACCUUGUCCUGGGUGUCUAUGGUAUCAGAGCCAUCGGGAGGGGAAGUUGGGUUUGUUUUGGGUGUUUUGGCCUAUCCUAGGAUAGGUAGUAUUGUGCCUAGGAGCGCGAGCCCUGCCGGUUGAGCCGUUGUUAGCCGUGGAUAGGCGUUUGUUAGGCUGUAAGAGGGUUGAGGUGACGUCUCAUAAGGUUUGUCAAUCUGCUAUUAGGCUCUAGAUCAAAACCCUAAAAUGAGUUCAAUUUUCAGAACCAUGUCUAGAAGAUCCAGUGAUUCUUAAAAUACUGUUGUAAACAGUGAAGAGAUCAAUUAUCCUAAGAUCCAAAAUGAUUUAGAUGAUUAGAAGUUACCCAAGGUGUCUAAUCAAGAAAUUUAUAAGAAAUGAACCUUUAAGUUCUUCACAGAUUAUACCAUCAAGACCUCUGAAAUGUCAGUCAGCUUAGAACAAGACGACCAAGUCAUAAGACUUCUAGAUAACAGAUCCUUUGAAAAGCAUAAGAAAGAUGGCUAUAAUUUCAUACACUUUGGUAUGAUUCAAGUAGCAGCUAAGCCUUUGACAAGAUUAGGUUUAAACACCUCUAUUGUCAUGUGUUUAAGGGAUAAUAGGCAUCUCGAAUAUCGAGAUUCUAUUAUCGACGCAGUCCAAGCUGGACUGAAUGAUGGCCCAGUUUAUUUCCAGUGCUAUCCUAACUUCACAGUUAGAAUAAGAGAUGCAGACAUCUUAGAUUCCGUUGUCCUGCAUAUUAAGACCCAUGGCUUUAAGAUCAAACCAGGAAACAGUCUUGUUUCAAUCAUAACCAGGUUUGCCUAUAAGAGCAUGAACACAAGCGUUGGAUCUGGGGCUCUUUGCACCAGUCCUAAAGGUGAGACCACUUACUUUCACUCAGAUAUGCUAGAUAAAUCAGAUUUCAUCAUCCCCAAGAAGAUCUUGUGGAAAGAUGUUGAGUUUCCUGAAAAUUGGCAUUUUGCUAAUGCUGUUCCAGUCAUUGCACAACGAUCUGAAAGUAUUGAACAAAUUGUUCAAUAUCCAGAUGGAGGAGGAGAACUAGUUUUCUCCAACUCCUUCAGACAUUCCAGCAGCCCUAGAGUUUUUGUUUAUGAACCCUCUAGAGCUUUAAGCUCUUCCAUCCCAGUUAGAACCACUAAGGAAGAAGAAGGUUCCAACUCAGGAAAUCCUAAGAACAUUAAGCUAACAGGUGUUAGAAGUCACACCAACGUGGCUAGACCAUUUUACAUAGAGGAAAAUGAGUCUACUCAGGAAUCCCAACGGGAUGAGUCUCCUGUUAUGUCUCCUACCUAUUCCCAGAUGAUUAACACAAUAAGCUUAAGUGAUGAGGACUUUGAGAUCAACAAGGAUCUCUUAAGAAAGGACUUCUAUUCUGAAGUUAAUAAGCAAAGAAAUGAUUGGUUCUUUAGCACUGUCCCUAAAGUCAUUAGAGCCAUUCACCAAGAAUAAUUCUAUGCCUACUUAGGACAGGAAAAGAAAAAUAUUAAGUUUUGGAUUUGGUUUGAACUCUUCAAACAAGAGGAUUAUCCAGAUUAUCCUUAUAAGCGUGUUAAUAACACUAAGAGCACUGAUAAAAUUAAGUCCUUUGAAUUUUCUAAGAAAUUCCAAGAAUAUCCCCAAAUCAACCAGGCUUUUGUUGAUAGGAUUAAUCAGAAGAUUAAGGAUAAUCUUGUUGCCCCUUUGACUGUUCAGCCUCAAAAGAGAAUCAAUAUGGUUAAAGGUGAUAUUAGUUCAGAAGAAGAAGCUGAUGAACUAAUUAAGAUGUUUGAGGAACCCCAUAAUCAAAUUAUUUCAAAAGAUAUUAACAACUUGGAAGCCUUUAAGACUAGGAAUUACUAUCCUAGGCCUACAUUUCCUGACAUGCAGCUUGAGGAAAGAAAUCAGUAUACUCAAGCCUCAUACACCAGUGGUACUAUCUAUGAAUGGAACAUAGACGGUAUGACCGAGUAUAACAUACUCACUAAGCUUCAAGAAAUGAUCAUGGUAAGUACAGCCUAUAAAUUAAACAAUAGACUACUAGAUCAUGCUGUAGCUCAGACCAUUGUUGUUGGGUUUACAGGUCAGCUUAAGGGUUGGUGGGAUAAUUAUCUCACUUUUGAUGAUAGAAAUAGUAUCCUAAAAGCCUAUAAGAUUAAUGAGAAUAGUGAAGUUGUUAAGGACAAAGAUGGCCAAGAUAUAGAGGAUGCAGUGGCUACUCUAAUCUACUCAAUAUCUAAACACUUCAUUGGAGAUCCUACAAAAAUUAAAGAUAAAACUGCAGAUCUCUUAACCAACCUUAAGUGUCCCAAGCUUCAUGAUUUUAGAUGGUAUAAAGAAUUCUUCCUAACCAAAGUCAUGCUAAGAUCAUAUUGUAACCAGUCUUUUUGGAAAGAAAAAUUCAUCUCAGGAUUACCCAAGCUUUUCUCUGAGAGAAUUAGGAUCAAGAUAAGGGAACAGUAUAAUGGUCAAAUCCCUUAUGAUAAGCUAACUUAUGGUAAGAUUAUAAGCAUUGUCAUAGCUGAAGGGAUUAAGUUGUGCAAUGACUUCAAGCUUAAGCAACAAAUGAAGAAUGAACAAAAAAUCUACAAGAUGAAUUUGGAUCAUUCUGUAGCCAGUUUGGUUUCAGCCAAAAAGAAACUAUGCCUCCCUCUAAGCAAAAACCAAGUAGGAAGCCUAGCAAAGAUAAGUUUUACCACAGUAAGAGAGGUACCCAUGACAACUAUAGGAUGAAUGAUACUAAGCAGUCAAGACACUUCCAAAGAAAGGUCAACAAAGAUACCCAAAAAAAGGUAGAAACUCCUUUAGAUGUCAAGCCAAUUAUCUGUUUUAAAUGUGGCAAAAUUGGCCAUUAUAAAAAAGAUUGUAGAGUUAAGCAAAAAAUUAAUAACUUAAGUGUCUUAGAUGACCUAAAAAAUAUGCUUUGUAAGGUAAUGUUAAACUCCACAGACUCUGAAUCAAGGACUGAUUCAGAUAAUGAAGAUGACAUUAAUCAACUAGACAGUAGUGGUGAAGUUUCUAGCCAAUCUUCUAGUGACCAAGCAUAAUGUAUUAAAGGUAAUUGUAAUUGUCGUCCUAAAACUAUAAAUGUCAUAAGACAAGAUCAGGAAUUUAUCCUAGAUACUUUAAGAAAAGUUGAAGAUGAAAAGACUAAGCAAAAUCUUUAUGAAGUUUUUAAGAAAUCUGUUGUUAAAGUAGAAGCCAAGAAGACUGUUAAUCCUUAUAACCUUAAUGAUAUCUUAAACAGGUUUGACCAACAGUCUCCCAAGGAAGUCAGCAUUAGGGAACUUCAUGAAGAAGUUAAGCAGUAUAAAAAAAGGAGAUUAAGGAGUUAAGACAAUUCAUAAGUUUAGGUCUCUCUGAUCUCCAAGAACAAAUCAAUAGAAUUGUCAACCAAGGAAACCUUAUGGAUAUUCCAGAAUCUUCUUAUGUUAAUGAUAAUGAGACAGAUACUUUUUUUUAAUAUUGUGAGUAGGGUUAUCUUCCAAAGGUGGGAAGUCUCCCUUACUAUAGUAGUCAAAGAUAAAUUUGUCUUUGAUAUUAUUGCUUUGAUUGAUUCAGGAGCAGCUGAAAAUUGCCUUCAAGAAGGUCUUGUACCUAUUCCUUUAUGCGAAAAGACUAGUCAGUCUCUAUUUGGAGCCAAUGGCAAAAGACUUGCCAUUAAGUAUAAAUUAACAUAUGUUCAUAUCCGUAACCAUGACAUCUGUAUUAAGCAAACCUUUAUCCUUGUUAAGGAUCUUAAAGAAAAAGUCCUCCUAGGAAUACCCUUCUUAAGCUCUAUUUAUCCCUUAUGAGUAGAUAACCAAGGUUCAGAAAAUUCAGCAAUAUGGGCUUGGCAUUCUCCACCUGCCAUAUCUAUAAGAUUCUUACUGUCAAGCAAUGGGGUGGAAAUCCUAAUUUUUCAAGGGAAUUUUCUGAACCAUCGAAGCCAAGGUUUUUUAAUUAUUGGGAUUAUCAGAGAGCAUGGUUUAAUGCUUUUCUGAUCCAGAAUAAGGAUUUCCAUCAUUCAUGGAUGUUCUAUUUUCCAUCUAAGAAUCAGCUUUCCUCUUUCCCAUUUUGGUUCUACAGUUGGUGGACUUAUUAUGGUCCGACUAUUAAGAUUCUUCCUAAGCCCAUCCUGGAUGGUUUUGAGCUAUUCAGAAGUUCUUUUGAUAUCCCCAGAGAACUUUCAGCUUUUCCCUCUUUACUACUCUUUUUCAGCAAUUUUGGCCUUGCUUGGAUAGUCCAGUGGGACUAUAUUAUCAUUACAGACGAAUCAGCAGCCUUUCCAUCUCUGGGAAGGACUUUUAAAACUAAAUGGUGGGAUGCCUUGAAAAAUGAUGCAUCUAUUGAUGCAGUCAAGCAGUAUUUCCUCAAGAACCCCACACAAGUCUCAACCAGUGAUGAUAUGUCUCAGUUUCUCCUCAAAAAGCAACAAUUACAAGCCAUGCUCGCAGCAGCUAAGACCCCUCAAGAUUUCCAGAAAAUCCUUGAAGAAGGAAGCUCAAGCUUCUCCCAAGAAAAUUCUUAUGCAGAGUCUGAUGAUUCAACAAGCUACCUUCCAGACAAUUGUGAUGACUGUGAAGGAAUCCUUCCUCCAAUAAGAAGAUCUAAGUAAGCAUCAGCCUUAUGUCUUCCAUCAAGAAUAUUUCAAGCUUUGCAGUUUCUGCACCAAAAGCAGCAAACAUGUGUCUACACAGUUUAAAUAAGCCUGUCAGAAGUCAUUUCAGCCGAAAGCAAGAUUUCGGGUCAAAAGUCAAAAGUGCUACAGUUCUCUCUUACUGUUCACUUUUACUAUUCAAGCACUAUUCAAGCACGGGUCUACUGUUCAUUAUUACUAUUCAAGAUUCCUUUUUGCCUAUUUAAGAAGGCUCGGUCCUCAUUUGUAAGCACGCUUAAUUUUCUCUCCCAAGCUUAUGCUCUCCCUUCUCUCUUCUUUCUCUCUCAUCAUGUAAGCCCUUCAAGCUUUCAAGCUUUCUCCAAGCUUUCCUACCCUUGUCCAUUGUAAGAUAUUUCUCCUUAUGUAUAAUAUAAAUAUGUUUUGAUUACCUCCUAUAUGGAUGGUUUUUAAUUAAGUUUUGUUUUCAUUUCAUUUUAUGUUCUUAUACCUCCUACAUGGAUGGUUUUAAUUAAGCUUUGAUUUUAAUUUUAUGUUUUUUAUUUUGUACCGCCUACAUGGUCGGUUUUAAGCUUAUCAUGAACUAACAAGUUUUUUGGUUCCUUCUCUUUAAAUUUCUUGUUGGAUAUCUUUUGUAUUUUCUAACCCUCUUCUUUGUUUUGAAUCAUGGCAUAAUUCCUGUUUUCAUUGCAUAUGACCUUGUCCUGGGUGUCUAUGGUAUCAGGAAAGCAUAAUUCAAAACACCAUAGACACCAUAGACAAGGUCAUAUGCAUAAGCUAUGGUCCUGUUUUCACUUUUUUUUUUUUGUCUAAAAUGUAAAUAAAUCUAAAUUAUUAUUUUUUAUUUUAAUUCUAAAAUAAUAAUUUAAGAAAUAGUAACUUAAUAUAUUUACAAAUAUAUACAAAAAUUUAAUUUAUUACCAUAAUAAAUAUUUUCUAACAAUUAAUUAUGUAAUUAGUAGAAAAUUUAUAAUUAGAUAAUGAUUAGGAUUUUUAUUUAUGUUUGGUUGUUAAGAAACUAUUAGAAUUUUUCUAAGCUAAAACUUAUUUUUAUGAAAUGUAUUUUCCGAUUUAUGAAUAUUGUUGAGAUUAAUUUCAACAUUUUUUUUAUUUUUUAUUUUUUACUCUUCAUAUGGAUAAUAGAAAGUGGAUUUGUGAUGCUUUCUUGGAUUUAUAGCAAUUAAAACGUAUUUCUUGAAUAUACAAUUUAAAAGUUCAAUUGUUAAAAUAAAGUUAUUUCUCGAAGAGAUUUUCUAUUUUACUUUAGUUAGUUUUGGAUUAGAAAUUAUACCUUUUAAUUUAUGCUCUCAUUAUUAUUCUAAAUCUAUUUGAGGUAAAUAUCAACUAGCUAGAUGUUGGAUUUGUUAGAUAAGGUCAUUCAUGUGUUCAACUCUCAAGUUUGAUAUAUAAAAUCACCAUAGUACCCUUCACCUCUGUGUCAAGGUAUCAUAGUAUUAAACUUUUAAAAAACAGUUUAAACUUGAUGCAUUGGAACGGUAUGAUCAUUAUUGUUGAAUGAAUCUAUCAUUUUUUAUUGAGUUAAUUUAGAAUUUUUACUAUUUUUGUUUUAGUUAGAACUUUUAGACUAUAUUUGAUUCCUGGAAACUUGAAGGGAAAAUAUAAGGGAAUAAAAUAGAGAAGAAAAAUAUAAGGAAAAAAAAAGAUUUAAAAUCACUCAUUUUAACUCCUUAUGUAAAUACUAAAUAAUUUUUAAGGGGUUGCUAUUCGCAACAUCUCUUUUGCUAACGUAACACUUUUUUGUUAUGUUUUUUUUUUUCAUAUAUACCUUUUUUAAUAAAGAAUUCUCUCUAACCUCCUCUCAACAUAUUAAACAUAAAUUCUAGUUGAUUAAGGGUACGAAAUAUAAUGAAUAACAAAAUUCAAUCAUCUUAUGACAAUUUUCAGAUAAGAUUUAUAACUUUCAUUUUUUUUUAUAAAGAAAUAUAUUGUUUUGACAUUUUUUUAGACUCUUGAUUACAUACUUUGUUUUAUGAGUCUUUACUUUGCGUACACAAAUAAUUAUUACAUUACUCAUAUUCUUAAUCAAUCUUUAGUUAUAUGCAAUAUUUUUGUUUAGGUUACAAAAAAAAUCAUAUUGAACACAAUAAAAAAAAUAUUUUUUAAAAAACCAUUCUAAUUAAAUAUUGUUUAUUUUAAAAUUUUAAUAAUAAUUUUUAUUUAAAAAAAUUGAGUUAUGAAUUUCACAUUAAAACAUUGAAUAUAAUAAAAUCAUUUUACAUAAUAUACUUUUGGUGAAAAAUAAUUUCAUAAUUUAUUAUUUAAAGAAAUUAUUUUGUUUUAAAAUAUAAGAAGAAUAUGAAAAACAAUUGAGUGUGAAAAAUAAAAGAAAUGAAAAGAAAAAAAACACAAAGUUUACGUGGGGUGGGAGGUUGAGUAGGUAGAGAUGAAAAGGAAGAUAAAAAUAAAAGAAAAAGAAUGCUAAAAUGUGGGUAGGGAUUGGGAAAAAGAAAAGAAAAGAAAAUAAAAAUAAAAAAGGGGUGCAAUUGGGACGUGAGGUUGGGGAGGAGAGAGAGGAGAGGAGAGGAGAGAGAGGUGGAAGGAAUAAGGAAGGGUAGUUUAGAAAUGUAAAAUGACGUAUUAGUAAAAAUGGUGUUGCGAAUAGCAAUUGAGAUUUUUUAAAUGUAUAAAUUUUUAAUUAAUUUUAAUUAUAUUUGAUUUUUAUUGAUAUUUUCGAUGAUAUAACAAUCCAUAACAUAAUCAUUUUUCCUAUUAUUAUUUUUUCUUUUCUUGGCACUUUCAAGGAAACAAAAAUAAACACCGAGUAAAAUUAUGAUUUUAAAGGUAGCUUAGUUAACAUUGUGUGUACUUUUUGUUGAACUCUUUUUGAAGUGGAAUUUUUGUUAUAAAUUUAUCUAAAUACCUAAAAAAUCUCGUAAGCAACAACAAUUAGGUUUCUGUUACAUCUCAUUUAACAAUUAUUAUAAAGCUAUAAUGACUAGAUUGGGUUAAAUCGUUCACAAUUUGAACCUUUGGUUUCAAAAUUUAAUCAAAGAAAAUUUAGUAACCAAAUGUUUAAAAUUUAGGAAUGAUGAUGGACAGGUUUUGAAACUGUUUCAAAUUUUGAUACAACUAUAAAAAUAGAAGAAAUGAAGACCUUUUAGCAUAUAGAAGAAGUUUCACCAAACUAAUAAUUAACAUAUAAAUAAGUAGGAUGAGUGUUUGAGACACUUCUCUUUUUGUUGGAUUCGGUUCUAGUCCGACUCAAGGUUAAUAUAUUUUUAAUUUCCACUUUGUUCAUUUAUGCAUUGAUUCAAAAAAAUAUGUCAUGUACUAAUGUUAAUUCAAGAUAUUAAUUACCAAGUUUUUGAAACAUGAAGUCAUGGUCCAAAGAAAACGAUACAAUAUUUUAUUUUUUAUUUCUAUUUCUCCAUUCUUUUGCUUAACUCACACGAAAUAGACUAAGGACUUUGUUUUAGUCAAGCAUCAAGAUGUCACAAUCACAAAGAAAAGAAAUUCAAACAAUGCUUUAAUGCAUGUUGUGUAUAUUUUCUCCAAAAAGCAUUUUAGACUCUUGUUAGAAUUUUCUCCUACGGAUUCUUUACUAACUUUAAUUAAUUGAAGAAAGCUAUAUGAAAUUUCCUACUCCAUGUUAAAUAUUAUAGCCUAUAAAGGAAAAUAAAAUAUCAUAAAAAUUAUUUAAAAUUUUAUAUAUAUUCAAAAUUUUUAUCAUAUAUAUAAAGGGUUGGAAAAAUGUAUAACAGGUUAAUGUGGUAUUUAUUUUUGGUCUAAAAUUUGAGUAGAUCUAAGUCUGACUUAAAUCUACUUAUAUUAUUAAGUGUUUAGGUUGUUUACUUUUUAUCAAUGUAUAAAUAUUGUUAAGUGUUAAAUUGCUUUCUUUUAUUAAUGUCUAAAGAGUUACACUUAUUUAUUUCUACAUGUUAAAAAUAUCUAUAAAAUUAAUUAUUAUAUUUUUUCUUAUUUUAAUUUUAAAAUUAACAAUUUAAGAGAUAUUAAUUUAAUAUAUUUAUAAAUAUAAAAAAAUAUUAUAAUUUAUUAUCAUAAUAAAAAUUUUAUAAUGACUAAUUAUGCAAAGUGUAGAAAAAUAACAAUUAGAUAAUUAUUAGGAUUUCUAAUUAUGCUUGGUUGUUAAAAAAUUUCUAUGUUAAAACUUGUUUUUAUGUAACUAUCUUCAAAUUUAUGAAUAUUGUUGAGAUUAAUUUAUUAAUUAUUAUUUUUAAUAUGGGAAAAAUGUAAAAAUCUAAAUUUUAUUUUUUAAAUUAAUUGGAUUUUUUUAUUCAAGCUAAUUACUAAACAAGGGUAAAUUAGAAAUCUAAGUUCAAGGACAUUAGCCAACCAAACUGACUCAAACCUAACGAAUCCAAUCUUAUUACUUUUUAUUUCCAUUUAAAGAUGUUUGUUCUAUUAAAAAAAACGAUUACAUUGGUUCAUUGUUCAUGAACCAAUCAAAACUAAACCAACCAAAUCUAUCUAUUAUAUAUCAAAAAAAAAAAAAAAAAAACCAUUACAUUGGUUUAGUAUUCAUUUCAAAACAAUGAACCAAUAGAACCGAUUCUAAUCGAAAAUAUAUAUUAUAUAUUAGACUUAAAAGAUGCAAAAUUUGAAGUUAUUUUUUGAAGAGACUUCAUAUUUUGCUUCUCACAAUUUACUAUAAAUUUAUGAAAUUAUUUAUUUAGUUGUCAUAUUUUAAAAAAAUAUUUUAUUUUUUCAAAAUAAAUUCACUAAAUAUUGUCUCAUAUGUAUUUUUGGUUCACUAAAUUUUUAAUAAUCAAAUUAAUAAAUUUGUAAAAGAAAAAUAUUAUAUUUUCUCCAUUUUGUUCACUUGAUAAAAAAAUCUACAAAAAUGUCAAGCAAAUGUUUGAAAUUUACCUCUUUUUUUUUGUUAUAUUUGGUUGAUUGUAUUUUUAAAAGCAUUAUAAAUCCCAAGAAAGUAAUAUUUUUUUCUUUACCAUUAUAGUUUCGUAGUGUUUGAACUUAUCUUUACCAUUUUUUUCUUCUUGAUCUAACUACAAGCUUGACUGCACAAACUUGGUCAGCAAUGAGAAUAAAAGUGAGGAGGGUGAUGAAGUUCUCCCUAUACUCUCCUCUCCCUUUUUAACUUUCCACCUUUUAAUUGUAUAUCCCCCCUCAACAGUAUAGUUUUAAGGUAUGUACACUUUAAUCCUGAUGGACUAAAGGCCCAUAAUUCAUCUCAAUGGGUCAACUAAAAUAUUAUGAGGAAGGUGAAGCCAUGGGCCUCUGCACAAUACAUUAAAUUGAUUAUGGCCCAAAACAAUACCCAUGCACAACCAAAUAUAGUUUAUAAUAUACGUAGUCCACAAAAAACAUUUGACAUUAAUGGGUGAAUUUAGGUGAUUAUGCUAGUCCAAGAAACAGUAAAAAGUUUUAUUUGAAAAUUUAUAUAUUUUCAAACUCUUAAUUCCUCUUUAUAAAUGUGGAUAAAGUUAGAGAAGUAAUGAUAAGAAUUAUUAAAAUUUAUUAAUCUUGAAGAGAAGUAUAGAAAAUGGGAAAUUAAUGAGAAUUUUAUUAUUAUCUUUUUUAGUUCCUUUAUUUUAAUUUUUUUUACUUUAUUUUCCUUCAAUGUUGUCUUUCCUAGUAAUAUAAAUGUGGAUUUGGGAAGUACAUAUAUCGUUAUAUGACCCAAAAAUUAUUGGUUAUAGAAUAGUAGAAAUUCCGUAAGAACAAAAUUCACAUACAUUUUAUCUGAAAGUUAAAAUAGUCUUACCAACUGUUAUAUAUCUAUUGGUGUAGUAGAUUUUGAGCUUGUCUUAAAAGCUCUCGCCUUUUGAUGCCCUUAGCAACUACUUCGCAAGCCAAUUUUCCAAACUUGCAACACAAGAUGGUUGGGUGGUCAUCCAGCACACCACCUAUGGUCAAGUCAGUGGAUAACAAGAAAAGAAAGUGUUGAGAGUAGAUGCAAAAAUAAAUAUGGGAAUAUGGGUGAGAGAAUAUGAUAAAUGAAGCUUAUUCUCUCUGCUAGAGCUUGACCGUACCAUCAGUGACCAGGCCUCGAUCAACGACCAGCUCUGAUUCUCUCUUUUCUUCUUCGAAAUACUCGUGUAUUUCAAAUUUGGAGCCGAAAUCUGGUCAAAGAGAAACAAUAACCCGAAAUUCAACCCGGUUGGCCAACCAUUGAUGAAAGGUCUCUAAAGAUUGUAGUCUUCUUCACUUCACAGUGAUGAAAUGCAUAGUCGGGGACGAAAUUGUUACUAGUUUUCAUUUUCCAUUUCUACCAAAACGCAUACAGGAUAUAUAUAUUUAUCAAUUCAUUUAGAACAUGCAUUUAUUCACAUGGAACAUACCUGAAUCCAUUUCUGAAUUUUGGUUGAAGAUGUAUGGAUCUUUUAAGGCCGAGGAAGGUAACCACCGUCACUGGAUUCUCUCUGGCAAUGGGAAGCGAGAGAGAUUAGGGUUAUGUUUUAUUAAAAAAUGUGAUAUAACAAAAUGAACAGACCCUUGACCUUUUAUACCCUCCUGCCUUAGGGAUCAUACCCAUUGGGCUAUAGGGCCUCACGAGUCUUAGGCCCAUUAUCUAAGGCUCGUGAUGGCGUUUGGGCUCUACACAUAGGUGGCCCAUACUCUUGAACGAACAGAAAAAAAAUUGAAGAGGUGAAUAGCUUAGUCAUGAAUUAUUGUGAGAUAUGUGAGUCCAUAUCUUAACAAUCUCCCACUUGGACCACAUAUAUUACAAAACAAUGUUCAUGAUAGUACUUUAUUGAGUUCAUCUUGCUAUUCUAUCUUAAUAUCCUUAAACAAUCCGGUCUACUAAUUAUGUUAACAUAGGAUUAAAGCGGCCUUCGUUAAUCAUAAUUUAACUAGACCCAUCAAUGAUCACAACAUUAACAAAAAUUAGCAACAUGGAUCAAGUAUGGAUGUGUAGCAUGGAAAUUGCAUAGAAUGUGAUCUUUAAUAUGUCUAUUUCCAAUUGGUCCUACUUUAUGACUAAAAAUAGUCAAAUUCCACUUUCAACACUUGAUGCUAAACUACUUUUGAAAGUCAUCAUUUUAAUUCAGAGUAUUCAAACACAAUGGUCUUUUAAAAAACAAAGUUUGUACAGAUAACAUAACAUAAUAUCACAUUAAGAAAACAAACACAAAAUCUAAAUACAAACUCCCACUAUACUAGCACAUCAUCAAUGUGUACAACACCCAUAUGUGUGACAUGCUUAUGAUAUACUUUGGGUGGCAAACCCUUAGUGAGUGGAUCCGCAAUCAUGGAGUUUGUGCUUAUGUGUACAAUUGAUACUUGAAGACUCUGAACUCUUUCUUUCAUAACCAAGAACUUGAUGUCAAUGUGUUUGAACUUUGACGAACUUCGGUUGUUCUUAGAAUACAAUUCUGCGGCUUUAUUAUCACAAUUGAUUCUCAAUGGUUUCUCAAUCCCAUCAACAAUUCGCAACCGAGUGAUAAAAUUUCGCAGCCAUAUCCCAUGGUUUGAUGCCUCGUAGCAAGCUAUGAAUUCUGCCUCCAUGGUGGAAGAAGCAAUAAGUGUUUGUUUAACACUUUUCCAUGAAACUACUCCUCCAUCCAACAUGAAGAUGUAGCCUGAAGUGGAUCUCCUACUGUCAAGACAUCCCACAAAAUCGGAGUCCGAAUAUCCCACGAUCUCUAAAUGACUGGAUCUACGAUAUGUGAGCAUAUAAUAUUUAGUUUUUUGUAAAUAUCGCAUAACUCGUUUUGCCUUUUUCUAGUGAUCCAUACUUGGGUUACUCAAAUAUCUGCCUAACAUUCCAACAAUGUACGCAAUAUCCGGACGCGUACAAACUUGUGCAUACAUGAGACUUCCUAUUGCCGAGGCAUAGGGAAACCUCUCCAUAUCCUUUUUCUCAAGUUCAUUUUUCAAACAUUGGUGCAAACUAAAUUUAUCGCCUUUUGCUACAGGCGUGUCUCCUGGUGCACAAUUGCUCAUGCCAAAUCUACUCAACACUUUGUCAAUAUAGGUCUUUUGUGAUAACCCAAGUAUACCUCUUGGACGAUCCCUAUAGAUCUGUAUACCUAGCACAAAAGAUGCAUCACCAAGAUCUUUCAUAUCAAAUUUACUAGAUAGAAAUCACUUGGUUUCAUGCAAAAGUCCCACAUCACUACUUGCAAGUAGAAUAUCAUCAACAUAUAGCACCAAGAUAAUGAAUUUGCUCCCACUGAACUUGAGGUAUAUGCAUUGAUCAACGGUGUUCUCCUUAAAACCAAAUGAAGUAAUCACCUAAUCAAACUUUCGGUACCAUUGUCGGGAUACUUGCUUUAAACCAUAUAUGGACCUUUUUAAUCUGCAUACAAGUUGCUUUGAAUCAUUAGACUCAAAGUUCUUUGGUUGCACCAUGUAUAUUGUUUCAUCAAUGUUACCAUUAAGAAACGCAGUUUUAACGUCCAUUUGAUGCAACUCUAAAUCAUAAUGAGCUACAAGUGCCAUGAUGAUUCUAAAUGAGUCUUUUGACGAAACCGGUGAAAAAGUCUCCUUACAAUCAAUGCCUUCCUUUUGAGUGAAACCUUUUGCGACUAGGCGCGUCUUAUACCUAACAAUAUUACCUUUUGAAUCCUGUUUGGUCUUAAAAAUCCAUUUACAACCAAUCAGUUUUACACCUUUAGGCAACUCUACUAGGUCCCAAACACCAUUGUCUUUCAUUGAUUUCAUCUCUUCCUUCAUGGCUUCUAUCAACUUUUCAGAGUUAGAACUUUGUUUGACUUGACUAACUGAAAUUGGAUCGUCUUCCAAACCCAUGUCAAACUCAUUUUCUUGGAGAUAUACAACAUAAUCAUCUGAAAUUGUACUUUUCCUUUCUCUAGUGGAUCUCCUCAGUGGCAUUUGUACUUGAGGUUCUUGAGGUUGUUGAGUUACCUCUUCAUGAACUUGAAUCGGUUCCAUAACUUGAGCAGGAGGAAUUUCAGGUGUGUCUUGAAUUUCUGUUAUCGACUGUACAUUCUGAAUAGUGUCAUCAAACAUAAUAUGAUCAUGUCCAGUCGUAGGAAUACUAACAGAUUCCUCUUCAAAGACCACCUUUCUUAAUGGUUCUCUCCCACUUAACUCAACAUCCUCAAUGAACUUAGCAUUACUCGUUUCAAAGAAGGAUCUAGAUGAGGGGUCAUAAAAUUUGAAACCUCUCGACCUUUCAGAAUACCCUACAAAGUAGCAGCUUACUGUUCUGGAGUCCAAUUUCUUUUGAUUUACCUUGUAAGGCCUAGCUUCAGCUGGACAACCCCAAACAUGCAAGUGCCUAAUACUAGGUUUCUUGCUAGUCCAUAACUCAUAUGGGGUUUUGGCUACUACUUUGCUUGGUACUCUAUUCAAAAUGUAAACUGCAGUUUUGAUAGCUUCGCCCCAAAGUGAUUCUGGUAAGGUGGAAUGACUAAUCCUACUUCUUACCAUAUCCUUAAGAGUACGGUUUCGCCUCUCUGCUACACCAUUUUGGCUUGGAGUCCCUAGCAUGGUGUACUGAGGAACGAUACCACACUCCAUCAAAUAUUUGUCGAAUGGCCCUGGACGUUGUUCACCUAAUCCGUCAUAUCUACCAUAGUAUUCACUUCCACGGUCAGAUCUGACGACCUUUAUUUUCUUGCUUAGUUGGUUCUCAACUUCAGCUUUGAAAUUCUUGAACACAUCCAAUGACUGAGAUUUCUCAUGAAUCAAAUAAAGAUAGCCAUAGCGCGAGUAAUCGUCAAUGAAAAUGAUAAAAUAUUGUUGUCCAUUCCAAGAAGCUGUAGGGAAUGGUCCACAAAUGUCCGUAUGUAUCAAUUCCAAGACAUCACUGCACCUAUUGGCAUCCUUUUUCCUCAUAUUUGUUUGUUUACCUUUAAUGCACUCUAUACAGACUUGAAAGUCUGAGAAAUGAAGCGGAUCAAGAAUUCCUUCUAACACAAGCCUUUGAAUCCGUUGAUUUGAAAUGUGACCCAAACGUUUGUGCCAUAACAUUAAUGAAUUCUCAUUUAUUAAUUUUCGCUUAAUGCCAUAAUUACUUGAAUGCAAGGUUUCAUUUCCAUUAGUGGCCUUUAUGUUCAAUUUGUAUAAUUUAUCUGUUAAACUACUUGUACCAAUAACAUUUGAAUUUAGAUAAAGACUAACCAUUCCAUUUCUAAAUGAACAACAAUAUCCAAAUUUGUCCAGACAGAGAAACAGAAAUUAAAUUCCAUCUAAACGACGGUACUACAAAAGUCUCUUCCAAAUCCAAAGUACAUCCAGAGUCUAACUGUAAUCUGAAAAGACCAAUAGCCUUGACUGCAACCUUGUUGCCAUUUCCCACAUAGAUGUAUCUUUCACCAUCAAUUGGCAUUCGGCUCCUUAGGCAACCUUGCAUAGUGACACUUAUGUGAGUAGUUGCACUCGUAUGUAUCCACCAAGUGUCAGUAGGCACUACAGCUAAAUCAAUUUCUGAACAAACAAAGUUGAGAAGUGUACCUUUCUUUUCACGCCAAGCAGCGUAUUUGGUACAUGUCUUCUUCAUAUGACCAGCCUUUUUGCAAAAGAAACAAGUGAUCUCCUUAUCUUGUUUCUUCUACACCUUCUACUUUGAUGUCUCAGAAACUGCAGUUUGUUUUCCUUUAUUGUCCCUCUUUCUUUUCUUAUUGGCACCAAAUCCCUGAGAUGUGGAAGCCAAGUGAGCCCUUUCUAUCUUCUCUUGUUUCAAUCUCUCUUCCUCUUGUACACACUGAGCAAUAAGCUCAUUCAAAGUUCAUUUCUCCUUUUGAGUGUUGUAACUGAUUUUGAAUGGACUGAAUUGUGUAGGCAGAGAGAUCAAGACCAAGUGCAUGAGUAUGUUUUCCGAAAACUCUAACUUUAGUGCCUUGAGUCUAGUCACAAGAUUAGACAUUUCCAUAAUGUACUCCCUUAUAUUCUCUUUCCCUUUAUACCGCAUAGAGACAAGCUUACUAAGAAUAGUGCUUGUCUCAACCUUUUCGUUUGCAGCGAAUCGGUUUGCUAUUUGGUCCAAGAAUGCCUUGGCUUGGGUUUCCUCAAGUAUUGCACCCCUUAUAGUUUCUGGAAUUGAGUGUUUCAUAAUCAUUAGACUCAUGCGAUUGGAUCGCUCCCAUUUUUCCAUAGUAGACCUUUGCUCAGCAGUGUUGGCACUAGUAAGAUCUGAAGGGCGAUCCACUCUUAAUGUAUAGUCUAAAUCCAUGUACCCGAGCACAAUUAUAACGUGCUCCUUCCAUUUCUUAAAGUUUGUGUCAUUAAGCACAGGAAUGUUAUUGACAUUUGCAGAUAUAGAAGAUGCUAAAAUAAUAAUGAAGCUCACAAUCAGUCAUAUAAUCAUCACACAUACAUGAAUAAAUAAAAAAUUAACAUAUAUAUGCAUGUAGACAUAUAACAAGACACCUAACACAAACAUCAAUAUUCAGUAUUUGGACAAAAAUAUUAACUUGUAAAUGGCAUCUUGUUCAAUAUUAAUUCAUAAAUAUUGACAAUAAAACUGAAAAUAAUAUGUUUGUCUUUAGACUAACAUAUUGAAUGUAAGAUAAACUUUAUAUGUCACAUAUUUAUGAUUACUUUAUUUAUUAUUAUAUUAAAAUAAUCCUUCUUUGGGUUGAUUAUUUUAUACAAUAAUAUCAUGCUUACAUAUUUCAAAACAAAUAAAAUUAUAUAACACAUGUUACUUUGGCAACAAAUAUACAUAACUUAUUCAUUUUUAAAUGUUAAACACAAAUAUAGCAAGCAAUAAUUUAAUUAAAAUUAUUUAUGCAUAAACCUAUGUAUAUAUACAAGCUUUGAUAACAAUAGAUGGGAGAAAAGGUGGGCAAAUGCCGGAGCGAAGCGGAGUGGAAUGGAGCGUAGCGAAAUGGAAUGAAUAUAUUUUUGUGGGUGAAUGACAAGUUGGGGGGGUGCGGGGGGCAACACCCCCCGCGGUAUGGUUCAGGGGUAAUUUUGGUCUAAAAAUAUAUAUAUUUUUUUAUUUCUUUUGGGCUACUGGACCAUGGUGUUGGGCUUUGUGGAGCCUAGUUUUGUUUGAUUCGGUUUGACGACCCGACCCGAAUAAUAUUGCAUGGCUUUUUUAAUGGGAGAUUUAUUGAGGCCUGUUGGGCCCGUUUAGCCCAUUGUGGAACCACCUUUUUUAAUUAGGGUUUUUUUAGUAUGGUAGGGUUGUCGUGCUAUAUAUAUAUAGAGAAUAUUGUAGCCGCAAGGUUGUACUCUGUAUUCUUCCCUGAUAAUAGUGAUAUCCCUACAACUCCGUGGACGUAGGCAAAUUGCCGAACCACGUAAAUAUUGUCUUGUGUGUGUGAUUGUUUUUUCUUUGGCGUGUGUUUUCUCUAUUUUUUGUUUCUCACGGGUUGGGAAUUCGGUUUAAUUCCCUACAACUGGUAUCAGAGCCUAGGGUUAGGUUUGAGUGGGAGCAAUGGCAGAGGAAGCAGGAAAGGCGUCUGGAAUAGAAAAGUUUGAUGGCACAGACUUUGCGUAUUGGAGGAUGCAGAUUGAAGAUUAUCUCUAUGGGAGGAAAUUGCAUCUACCUUUUUUAGGGACAAAACCUGAGAGUAUGAAGGCUGAGGAAUGGACGCUUCUUGACAGACAGGUUCUAGGAGUUAUUAGGUUAACUCUAUCUAGGUCUGUUGCACACAAUGUUGUAAAGGAGAAGACCACAGCAGAUCUGAUGAAGGCUUUGUCCGAUAUGUAUGAAAAGCCAUCCGCAAACAAUAAGGUGCAUCUGAUGAAGAAAUUGUUCAAUUUGAAGAUGGCAGAGAAUGCAUCAGUAGCACAACAUCUGAAUGAAUUUAAUACAAUCACAAAUCAAUUGUCGUCUGUAGAAAUUGAUUUUGAUGAUGAGAUUCGUGCUCUGAUCGUCUUGGCUUCUUUGCCAAACAGUUGGGAGGCAAUGAGGAUGGCAGUAAGCAAUUCUACGGGAAAGGAAAAGCUCAAGUACAAUGAUAUACGAGAUUUAAUUCUGGCUGAGGAGAUUCACCGAAGAGAUGCAGGUGAAACCUCAGGAUCUGGUUCUGCCCUAAACCUUGAGACAAGAGGCAGAGGUAAUAAUAGAAAUUCAAAUCAGGGUAGAUCAAAUUCCAGAAAUUCUAAUCGGAACAGAAGCAAAUCUAGAUCAGGCCAACAAGUACAAUGCUGGAAUUGUGGGAAAACAGGUUACUUUAAAAGGCAAUGCAAAAGCCCUAAGAAGAAGAAUGAAGAUGAUUCUGCUAAUGCUGUAACAGAAGAGGUACAGGAUGCAUUACUUCUUGCAGUAGACAAUCCACUUGAUGAUUGGGUUUUGGAUUCAGGAGCUUCGUUUCAUACCACUCCACACCGAGAAAUCAUACAGAAUUAUGUUGCAAGUGAUUUUGGUAAGGUAUAUUUGGCUGAUGGUUCGGCCUUGGAUGUUGUGGGUCUGGGAGAUGUCCGGAUAUCGUUGCCCAAUGGGUCUGUUUGGUUACUGGAGAAGGUUCGACAUAUUCCUGACCUGAGGAGGAAUCUGAUUUCUGUUGGACAACUUGAUGAUGAAGGACAUGCAAUACUAUUUGUUGGUGGUACUUGGAAGGUUACAAAGGGAGCUAGGGUAUUGGCUCGUGGAAAGAAGACUGGCACUCUGUAUAUGACCUCAUGUCCAAGAGACACAAUUGCAGUUGCUGAUGCAAGUACUGAUACAAGCCUAUGGCACCGCAGACUUGGUCACAUGAGUGAGAAAGGGAUGAAGAUGUUGCUGUCAAAAGGAAAACUACCAGAAUUGAAGUCCAUUGAUUUUGACAUGUGUGAAAGUUGCAUCUUAGGAAAGCAAAAAAAGGUGAGCUUCUUGAAAACUGGCAGGACACCGAAGGCUGAAAAAUUAGAACUAGUACACACUGAUUUGUGGGGGCCUUCUCCGGUUGCAUCCCUAGGAGGUUCAAGGUACUACAUCACCUUUAUUGAUGACUCAAGUAGAAAGGUAUGGGUUUAUUUUCUGAAAAAUAAAUCUGAUGUAUUUGUAACUUUUAAGAAGUGGAAAGCCAUGGUUGAGACAGAAACAAGUUUGAAAGUAAAAUGUUUGAGGUCAAAUAAUGUAGGAGAGUACAUAAAUGGAGGUUUCAGUGAGUAUUGUGCUGCACAGGGAAUUAGGAUGGAGAAGACCAUUCCUGGGACACCAAAGCAGAAUGGUGUGGCUGAGCGCAUGAAUAGAACUCCCAAUGAGCGUGCUAGAAGUAUGAGGUUGCAUGCUGGACUACCAAAAACUUUUUGGGCUGAUGCUGUUAGCACUGCAGCUUACCUGAUAAACCGAGGACCAUCAGUUCCCAUGGAGUUCAGACUUCCUGAGGAGGUUUGGAGCGGUAAAGAGGUGAAGUUUUCACAUUUAAAAGUUUUUGGUUGUGUUUCUUAUGUUCAUAUUGAUUCUGAUGCUCGUAGUAAACUUGAUGCAAAGUCAAAAAUAUGUUUUUUCAUUGGCUAUGGUGAUGAGAAAUUUGGCUAUAGGUUUUGGGAUGAACAAAACAGGAAAAUCAUCAGAAGUAGAAAUGUGAUAUUUAAUGAACAGGUUAUGUACAAGGAUAGGUCAACUGUAACGUCAGAUGUUACAGAGAUAGAUCAAAAGAAAUCUGAGUUUGUCAACUUAGAUGAAUUGACUGAAAGUACUGUCCAAAAAGGGGGUGAAAAAGAUAAGGAGAAUGUAAAUUCACAGGUAGAUUUGAGUACACCUGUAGCUGAAGUUCGUAGAUCUUCCAGGAACAUUAGACCUCCGCAACGUUAUUCACCUGUUUUAAAUUAUCUCCUGUUGACUGAUGGUGGUGAGCCAGAGUGUUAUGAUGAAGCCUUGCAAGAUGAGAAUUCAAGCAAGUGGGAGUUAGCCAUGAAGGAUGAGAUGGAUUCCCUAUUGGGGAAUCAGACAUGGGAACUGACUGAAUUGCCAGUAGGAAAGAAGGCUUUGCACAACAAGUGGGUAUACAGAAUAAAGAAUGAGCAUGAUGGUAGCAAACGUUACAAGGCCAGAUUAGUUGUUAAAGGGUUCCAGCAGAAGGAGGGCAUUGACUACACAGAGAUAUUUUCUCCAGUUGUGAAGAUGUCAACAAUUAGACUUGUACUUGGAAUGGUGACUGCAGAAAACUUACAUCUUGAGCAGUUAGAUGUGAAGACAGCAUUCCUUCAUGGUGACUUGGAGGAAGACCUUUACAUGAUUCAGCCAGAAGGGUUCAUUGUUCAGGGACAAGAGAAUCUAGUCUGCAAACUGAGAAAGAGCUUGUAUGGCCUUAAACAAGCUCCUAGACAGUGGUACAAGAAGUUUGACAAUUUUAUGCAUAGAAUUGGGUUCAAGAGAUGUGAAGCUGAUCAUUGUUGCUAUGUUAAGUCCUUUGACAAUUCUUACAUCAUAUUACUGUUAUAUGUGGAUGAUAUGCUUAUUGCAGGGUCUGACAUUGAGAAGAUUAAUAAUCUGAAGAAGCAAUUGUCCAAACAGUUUGCAAUGAAGGAUUUGGGAGCUGCAAAGCAAAUCCUUGGUAUGAGAAUCAUUAGAGACAAGGCUAAUGGUACAUUGAAACUUUCACAGUCAGAGUAUGUGAAGAAAGUUCUCAGCAGGUUCAACAUGAAUGAAGCUAAACCAGUGAGCACACCCUUGGGUAGUCAUUUCAAACUAAGCAAAGAACAGUCACCGAAGACAGAAGAAGAAAGGGACCAUAUGAGCAAGGUGCCCUAUGCCUCAACUAUUGGCAACUUGAUGUAUGCUAUGGUGUGUACAAGGCCAGACAUUGCACAUGCAGUGGGAGUUGUGAGCAGAUUCAUGAGUAGGCCUGGAAAGCAGCAUUGGGAGGCAGUCAAGUGGAUUUUAAGAUAUCUGAAGGGUUCAUUAGAUACAUGUCUUUGCUUCACAGGUGCAAGUUUGAAACUGCAGGGUUAUGUAGAUGCUGAUUUUGCUGGUCAUAUUGAUAGUAGAAAGAGUACUACUGGGUUUGUUUUUACUCUAGGUGGUACAGCUAUAUCAUGGACUUCAAAUCUACAGAAGAUUGUUACUUUGUCUACUACAGAAGCUAAGUAUGUUGCAGCAACUGAAGCUGGAAAGGAGAUGAUUUGGCUACAUGGUUUCUUAGAUGAAUUGGGUAAGAAGCAGGAGAUGGGCAUUCUACACAGUGACAGUCAGAGUGCAAUUUUUCUUGCCAAAAAUUCGGCUUUUCAUUCAAAGUCGAAGCAUAUACAAACAAAAUACCACUUUAUCCGUUAUCUUGUUGAAGAUAAACUGGUAAUACUUGAGAAGAUUUGUGGAUCUAAGAACCCGGCAGACAUGUUGACUAAGGGUGUCACUAUUGAGAAGUUGAAGUUGUGCGCAGCUUCAAUUGGUCUUCUAGCUUGAGGACAGGAGGAUGAGUUGUAGGGAUGAGGGAUUGUUUCUUGGAGGAUAGCGGUUUGAUGUUGGUGAUUGGACUAGUCUCCAAGUGGGAGAUUUGUUGGGCUUUGUGGAGCCUAGUUUUGUUUGAUCCGGUUUGACGACCCGACCCGAAUAAUAUUGCAUGGCUUUUUUAAUGGGAGAUUUAUUGAGGCCUGUUGGGCCCGUUUAGCCCAUUGUGGAACCACCUUUUUUAAUUAGGGUUUUUUUAGUAUGGUAGGGUUGUCGUGCUAUAUAUAUAUAGAGAAUAUUGUAGCUGCAAGGUUGUACUCCGUAUUCUUCCCUGAUAAUAGUGAUAUCCCUACAACUUCGUGGACGUAGGCAAAUUGCCGAACCACGUAAAUAUUGUCUUGUGUGUGUGAUUGUUUUUUCUUUGGCGUGUGUUUUCUCUAUUUUUUGUUUCUCACGGGUUGGGAAUUCGGUUUAAUUCCCUACACAUGGCUCAUCCACAUUAGCAAACAAAUUGUAAAAGAAAUUAAGGGCAUUUUCAUCUUUUAAGGGACGCCGGCAGUGGCGUUUCGGAUACUAAAGGACACCGACAGCGGCGUCAUAGGCUGUAAUGGAGACGGCGCCGGCAGCGGCAUUGUAGAGGUGUUCCCAAAAGCAAAGGGCGCCAAAAUAAUGCCAAAUGACGGCGUCUACAACGUCUUUCUAGGCGGCGUCGUAAGGAAGACGCCACAGCGCCUUCUCCGACUGCCUAAACGGUGCUAAAAAAACGCUUCUCCAAGCGAUCGAUCGCUAAGAAGACGCGCCACCAACAUUGCUGCCUGAAAUGCCACACCAUCCAAUCAGUGAAGACGGACGCAUGCGACACGAGCUGAAGAGAUUUGUAGGAAACCCCUGUAGCAGCACACCAAUGGCGCCACAGCGGCGCACCCCCUACAGCCUCCCAAAAACGGCACGACGUUGUGACUUGCAGCCCUAAAAUGGAGCUUGAACAGCACCUGAAGUGCGCCUGAACCGUGCCUAGAUCGCCCAAAACGGCCAGAUUUUUUGUUAUUUGUGUUUUAAAAGGCAUUUUGGUGAAGAUUGAACAUGCUCUAAUACCAAUUGUUACUAGUUUUCAUUUUCCAUUUCUACCAAAACGCAUAUAGGAUAUAUAUAUUUAUCAAUUCAUUUAGAACAUGCAUUUAUUCACAUGGAACAUACCUGAAUCCAUUUCUGAAUUUUGGUUGAAGAUGUAUGGAUCUUCUAAGGCCGAGGAAGGUAACCACCGUCACUGGAUUCUCUCUGGCAAUGGGAAGCGGGAGAGAUUAGGGUUCUGUUUUAUUCAAAAAUGUGAUAUAACAAAAUGAACAGACCCUUGACCUUUUAUACCCUCAUGCCUUAGGGACCAUACCCAUUGGGCUAUUGGGCCUCACGAGUCUUCGGCCCAUUAUCUAAGGCUCGUGAUGACGUUUGGGCUCUACACAUAGGUGGCCCAUACUCUUGAACGAACAGAAAACAAAUUGAAGAGGUGAAUAGCUUAGUCAUGAAUUAUUGUGAGAUAUGUGAGUCCAUAUCUUAACAGGAAUCACCUACUAUCUGGUUCGGCUUUCAAAUCUCUAGUUUCAGUUCUCAUGCUAGCCAUGUUCACCACCAUGGCAUCGAUUUACGUCACCGGCCGAUGAGUUCUCAUAUUGUUUCGUAUUGUGAAAUGAUUUUCAUUUCUUAGCUGUAAUAGUGUUUAUAGUGUGGUUAAUUUCUUUAAUUUAGGUUUUGUUUUGUGAUGCUUUGAUUUUGAUUAUAAUUGGUCUAUGUUUUUCAAAAGAAAAAUUGUUUUUAUGGAAAUCUGUUAUUGGUAGGCUAUGGUUGGAUUAUGAGAAUAAGGUUUAUUUGAUUAAAGAGCUUGAUAUUGUUAUUCGAUUGUAGCUUCAACUUUUCUUCCCCACAGUUUGUUAAUGCAUUUUUAGGGACUAUUUUGUUAUUGAGACUAAAUUAUAAUGAUACAAAGAGGGUCUUGACAUUGAAUGGAACCAGAAUCAGUCCAUCAUGGUAUAUGUUCUAUAGCAUUACAUUACAAUGCCAAAUAAACUGGUGAUGUGCAUAAGCUCUUGCUUUUUUCUUUCUUUCUUUCUGUUUUUUUUUUCUUUUAUUGAAACAAUCAGAGUUGAUACCAACCUAUUUUCAUUUUUUGAAAUUAAUCAUUCAGAGUAAUUGAGGUAAAUAUCUAUACUUACCAGUUUAAUAGUUUUUAGGUGUAAUCAGCCAAUGACACUGAAAAUUACAGGUAAAUAAAUUAUAUCUAUACUUUAUGUGGGGUUCUUUUUUUGGGGUUUUUGUUAUAAUAGACAAAAUAUAAUCUAGAGGUCAUGGUUAUGGUUCUUCAAUUUUAUAGGAACAGCAGAAGAAGUUAGCAACCUUUGAGAUGGAGUUACUUGCAGCACAGUAGGAAUAUUUUGUCUCAAAGAACUUGUCAGAAAAUAAGGAACUCCUCCUAAGAAAAAGCAUUUAGCUGAUGUAGGAACUAUUACAAAGUUUGGCCACAAGAACAAUAGAGAUGCAAUCCAUAAGACAUGGAUACCAAUUGGUAGAAUACCCUUCUUUUUGUAAGUUUCUCUCUUUACUCUUUCUAUGAUUUACAUAGAGAAUGACCCAGUUGGCACUUAACAAAUUGGCAUUUAUGUUAUAAGCAUAUAAGGGAUAAAAGCAGGAGGCUUGUAGCCUGAACUCUUAUUAACAUGAAAACUUUUAGGGAACUUCCAUUUCUCUUCUAUUCUUUUUUCAUUGUUUUGUUUAUUUUGUCAGUUUGCAAUAGUCAUCUUUCAAUAGUUUGCAAACUCCAUCAACCAAUUUGAAAAGCCUUGGAGCUAACAGGUGCAAAUUAUGAGAAUCUAAAAUCUUGUCUCUCUAGGAUUUUUCUAAAAUUGCUCAAUUGAAUGGAAAGCAGAAAACCAUCAAGAGGCCCUGCCCUGCACCCUCUAUACUCCUGUUUACAGAAAUUUGGAGUUUGUCUUUAUUGUAAUAAGGGAGACAAUAGUUUGCAUAAUAAUGGAACAAGAAGUAAUAUUGUGAUUCGCUGCUUCAAAAAGUAAUUUUGACAUAACUUAUGUGCUAAACUGCACUAAAAUGCUUAGCACAAAAAGUAUGUUAUUCUUCAUUUGAGAGCAUUACAUUGAACCUCAUAUGUUAGCAUCACUUUUGCCAUAACUAAUCUUUCUUUCUUUCCCCUUAUCCAAGACAAUGCAUAUUGAGUGAUUGAUACUUAAGUUAAUAGCCUUAGCACCCACAUGGGGUGAAGUUUGAAUCCAGAAUUUCCCAAUAGUCUUAAUACGCUUCCUCGGGUGUAUUCGAACUUAAGACGUCAAUGUUAAACCACCACCUUACCCAAAACCUUUAAGUUACUCGGUAAUAGGCCAACAAUGGGAUAUUAAGGCCACUAAUAGGUAGGCUAAUAGCCUGAGCAAUUCUCUUAUAAUGUUUAAUGGUUCAAAUGUUGACAAUUAAAACAUUUACAAAAGCAUGAUGACUUAGCCAUCGUUUUCAUACAGAUACUCUAGAAGCAGUUCUUGCUCUACCCAUUUGAAUAAGCCUUGAGUUUAUAUUGGGUGUAUGAAAUCAGGUGAAGUUUUCUCAAAGUUGUGAGUAUAAUCAAAGGGUUUUUUUUUUCUUUUCUCUAAUGAUGAGAAAACGAGUUCUUUAUGAUAUUCUAUUUUCACAUAUUGUAUUAUCUUUUCAUAUAGUAAGAACUAGACUGGUAGAAAUUUGGUGAUGGAAAAUCAUGAGUAAUUCUGUAUUGAUUUCAUCUUGUCUCUUAUAUUAAGAUAAGUAAUUAUUACCUUCUAGUUCUGUUAACUAGUCAGGAAGUCUCUUAGUAUCUCCGAAUUCAUCUGAUAGGUGAUAGAAGUCCCAAUGAAUAACUAGGGCAUUGUCCCAUAAGAGGCUUGCUUGAUAGAGAGUUAGAGCACCAUUUCUGAAGUUUUUUGGGCAUUUAAACAAUUUAUCAUUCCAUCAUAUUCUUGACAUCUGUUACACUUGAUUUGCCCACCCUAUGCACCCAUAUUUAAACCAUCUCAAACUCUGAUUUGUGUUGAGGUAUCCUGGAGUUUGCAGAGGGACGCCUUCUCGGGAAGUCAGGCUUACAUUGGCUGAAUAUACAUUUAGAAAAUUUAUAUGCUGGUCGACUGGACAAGUUAUCAUACGAGGGUUGGGUAGCAUUUAUUGAGAAUCAUUUAGAAGAUAUAUUUGAUUCCACAGACAGACCUCUGGAAGGAAGACGUUGGUGGUUGUCUGCUGAGGAUCCUUUCCAAUGCUUGGCUGCAUGUAUUAAUCUCUCAGAAGCAUUAAGAAGCUCCUCUCCAUAGACUACUAUUUCACACAUGCCUGUCCACCAGGUACUUCAUUCUCAUCAUGGUCACAUUCAAACUGAGAAAUGUUUACUACCGAGUGAAAUCAAAUUAAUCCCACCUCCCUCCUACUCCACCCAACUCCACAAUAAAUAAGAAAUCUUAGAACUAGUUUUUAUUGGAAUUAUGUUCUAAGCAUAGGCAUAUCAUUUGUUGCCUUGUGUAUUUUGUAUAAAAUCCUCCAGGUAACUAUAUAGUUCUUCUGCAUUUACACAUGGAAAAUGACAGUCACAUGAUUGUUCAGACCCUUCAGAGUACCCCAUUUGUUGCGGAGCAGAAAUAAUGGAUCUACCACUUCUUUCAUAGCACUACCUUAUGUUUGCGCUAUCCUAUUGAAGUAGGCUUGAGAGGAUAACAGAUAUUUCCCUGACUUUACUUUUGUUUUCAUAUUAAAUGCUUAGAUUCAGGUCAUUUGUUUGUCCAAAACUUAAUCUGAGAUUGUAUUGUUCUAUCUUUUUCAAGGAUGGCUCGUGCAAUGGCUUACAACACUAUGCUGCCCUUGGAAGGGACAAGGUAGUGGAAUUUUCCGCUUUUGGUUGAUCGUUGUGGAGUUCUAAUUAUGUGAUAUGGAAGCAUGGUUUUUGAUUAGUUAGGCAUAGCUUUUCACUCUUUUUCUGCUUUGAGGCUAAAUUUGUCUCAACUUUGAUCUUCUCUCAUUUUGAUAGGAAAAAAAUGAACUUUGUUAAGGAAAGAUAGUACGAGGAUAAGGAACUAGAAAUUGAAACCCAAGAAAGAAACCAAACUUUGUUUGAGUUUGGUGCAGUUUAUUUAAUUUGAUUUUUUUAAGUCAUCUCAAAGUAUGGUUGUUUCAAGAAAGGGGUUUAUCAUGGUAUUUGGCGAGUUCAAAGGCUACGGUAACAGAUCAGUCUUUGAAGGCCGUGAAUUUUAGUUAGAGUUUAGUAUUGGAGGAGAUUUUUUUUAUUUUUUUUAUUUUUAUUGAAGUUUCCUUGUUCUUUCAUCUUUGGCAGUAGAAGUUUGAAUUGGGGAUUAUUAUUUGAUUAUGCAGUUUGGAUAUAUAUAUAUAUAUAUAUAUAUAUAUAUAUAUAUAUAUAUAUAUAUAUAUUGGAAAUUAAAAUUUGUUGCUUCAACUAAAGUUUUAUAUAUGUAAUAGAAAAUAUAUACCGGAAAAAGUGGUAGGACCUUUUCAAUUUUGAAAUGAGAAUUUUAAUUAAAAUAUUUGAAAAAAAAAUUCAAGACUUCAGCUGUGGCCAACAUAAGUUGUGUCAAGAGAAUAAAUUAUGAAGCCCUAUAGUUGCGGCUGACAAAAGGCCAUGUCCAUAAGUACUAUAUAGUAUUAAAUUAUGUAGAUAUCACACCUUUAUAGCAGCAACUAUCAGCUGUCCCAACCACAUAUGGAGCUUUUAGUUGAGGAAAAAACAUGACAACGGGGAUAGCUUCACAACUUCUACUUGUGUCUUUUAUAGGUGGCUGCAACUAUAGGAUUUAUCUGCAUCCCUAUGGCCUUCGCGGCUAUGAACUUAACUUCUUGUAGUGUGUAACACUCUCGCCUCGUGUAUGAUUGCAUGAACUUGCAACACAUGUACUGCACAACUCUUUGUUAAUGGUUGUUAAAAAUAGAUUUCUAUUUUUGAAAAUUGAAAAUAAGAAAAUCUUGUUUGACAAUAAGAAAAUAGAAACCAAUUUUUCAGAAAUAGAAAAUAGGUUUUGUUCUUAAAAAAAAAAAAAUGUUUUCAAUUGUUUUCUAGGGUUAUUUUUUUAAAAAUAAUAUGAUAAAUAUGAAGAAUAAUUAAAAAUAAAAUGCUACAUAUAAAACUUACUUUUUUGAAAAAUAUUUGAAAGUAAAAAAUACGUUAAAAGCAUUUCAAAUUUUCAAACAAACAUUUAUCAUAUAAAUCUCAUAGAAUUAUUUUGGAAAACUAUUUUAAAAAACUAUUUCUUUUUUGAAUGAUUUUCAAAAUUAUUUCCAAACUAACUUAAAGUAUGUUUGACAGUGAUUUUAUGAAGUAUUUUUAAUCUUUUUAAUAUUUGAAAAAUAAAAAGUUUUAAGUGUUAAAAAAAUUAUAAGCAUUUCCUAAAAUCAUUAUCCAAUAAACUCUAAUUCUCUUUACUAAAGGCUUAUACAGGUUUUUAUAUUUUGCCUCCUAACCAUGUUAGAUAGGUGGUAACCAUGUUAUAAGAUUUUGGGUUAGCAUUGGCUAGUCUGCACUUAUAUGUACUUAAUUGUUGUUUUUAAACAUAGAAAAUGAAAGUAACUUGGAUAUAAAAUAUAAAAACUUUUAGAGGCUUACAUUAUUUCAAAUUUCAAAAUUUUUUAUAAUGAUUUUUAAAGAUAUAAGGUGAGUUUAUACUUUUGGUAAAAAAAAUUUCUAUUUUUUUAUAUAAAAAUUAUUACUACUUUUUGUGAUAAAAAAAAUGUAUAAAAAAAUGUCAAUAUACAAAUAAUAAAAGUUGAAAGAACAUUUUCAAUACAUAGAUUAUCUUAAGGGUUCAAAUGUGGGCUAAGCCUAAAACUUAAUAUUAAAUCUUCUCUCAUUCAAAUAAUAGUCUUUAUAAAUACUAGAAUAUCCUAAAUAGUUAUGGACCAAUAUUUCAAACAAAUUUCUCAAACAUUAGUAUCAAAAGAAACUUUCAUUAACCAUGACGAGCUCCCUGUUUUAAUCUAAAACAUGUAAAUAAACAUAAUUAACUUCAAUCUAAGCAAGAUUUAGAUUUGUAUUAUGGAUAAUAUAAAUCUAAAUAUUUUCUUAAAAGAUGAUCAUAAGUUUCUUAGUCCAUGACUUCAAUUAAUAGAAAAAAUAUUUAUAAGCUCAAUUUUGUUGGAAGACUUUUUAUAUUUUCCCGUAACUUACACUCCAUUAAAGAUUCAAGAUUAUUUAGAGUUAAGUACAGAUUGGAUAACACAAGUAUAAAGUUAUGAAAAGAACAAUAACUUUUAAUUGAAAAAGAUUUUGGAGAUCUAGUGCUCAAGCACUUGAAUCUAGCUUUCAAGGCUUGGAACACUCAAGUAUUGCUUGAGAGUACCCAAUAACAAGCACUCAAGUGGUGUACUUAUCUCGUACUUGAGCACUCAAAAGAGGGGUUUCCAAAAAAUAAGUUUGCAUACAACACUCAUUAAAAAAAAAUGAUUAUAUAUCUAUACACACACAUGAUCCAUGGUUUAAAUAAAACAUUUCUUAUAUUUACAAUAAUUUUAUUUUAAAGUAUUGUUAUUAUAUUAUACCAAUGUUGUUAGGCCAUAUUUUGCUAAACAAAAUGAAAAAGAAAACACAUUAUUUGGCAAAUAUUUUACAACUAGAGGUGAUGAAGACUAAUGUUAGUAAUUAGGUUUGCCAUAUGUUUCAACAAUGUACAAUUAGCUCAAUCACUUGAAGCUUAUACCAAAAAUAUAUUUGAAUAACAGACAAAAUUUCUGAAGGGUACAUAGUGAUAAUCAACUACCAAAUUAACAUAAACAUAAAAGUUGGAAGGACAAUUUUAAGGUAUAGAUGACUCUAAAAUAUCAAAAGUAGGUUGAGUAUCCAACUUAAUAUUACAACUUUUCUCACUUAAAUGACAGUUUACAAAUAACAAAACUACCUAAAGAAAAAUAAUUGUUUGCCAACAUUUCAAAGAUAGAAUUCUCAAACACUAGUACCAAAAGAAAUCUUCAUCACCACUAAGAAUUCAUCUUUGUAUUCAAUCUGAAACAAGUAAAUACACAUGAUUAGCUCCAAUUUAAGCAACAUUUAGAUUUUCAUAAUGGAAUAUAAACAACAUGUUCGAUAUUAUUAUUGCAAUUAUUGUUAUUAUUAUUAUUAUUAUUAUUAUUAUUAUUAUUAUUAUAUAAUUAACAACACAAUAUUAACAAACUUGGUUAUAAAGAUUGUUUAAAUUCCUAUAGUUUUCUCACUUGUGGUAUUUAACCAUACUCAAGUGAGUAUAUUUGUCAAUAAAUUUAGAGUUUCAACUAACAACCUAUAACAAUUUAUAAUUUUAGCUGUUUGCUUGUAUAUUUUUUUGGAAUUCAACCUUGGAAAAAAUCACACGUAUCUUAAUCUUCCCUAUGAAAAUCACAUUCUGCAACUUCAAAGAGUUGAACCCAAUUAUAAACUCCCUCCAUCCUCUUUCUAAUGACUCAAACUAGGAGAUUGAUUACCCUAUGCAUUGUAUUUAGGAACUUAAUUGUAGUAAGGGAAGAGAAACAACUUAUAUUCAUAUGUAUAGUUGAAGGGUCUAAAAAUAUGCCUCUUACUAUAACAUGAUUUGAACAUUUAAAGCAAUAUACUUUUAGUAAAUCAAUGUCCAACAAGACAACAAUUCAAUUUCUUUUUUUUUUUGUAAAUUUAAAUCAUUAUUUUCAAUUCAAGAAGUUAAGAAAUAAUAUAAUAAAAUAUAAGCAUAAAAAGAUUAAUAGCUAACAAAUAUGUACGUAAACAUGGAUGGCCUUUCAUUACGUUGCAAUGAAAUUCAUCUUACCUUCUUUUUGCAUGAUGUUUAUUAUUUUGAAACCACAUCACCCUCUGUAAAAUAGUUGAAUUCAUUGUGAUGAUAAUCAUAACACACCAAAAAUACAAUGAAAUAAAAUAAAUAAAUAAAUAAACAAGGAAGAAAAUAAAGGAAAAAGAAUCGUAAGUGAUGUAAGAUAUGUCACCUUUUCAGCCAUGAACUCCAUCUGUUUCCAUCUUCCUUUUCAGACGAGCCACAUUCACUGCAGUGAAGACAUAUAACCUAUCUCUGGUUUCAUCAAUGAACCGGAAAUAAGCCUGCCUCCAAGACUUCUUUAGAGCCAAACUGCCACAUACAGCCCAAAAUCCCACCGGAAAGCCCAAUCCCAUGCUUAUGAAGAACCAUGACAGGUCCCAUUCAUCUUCAUCUUCCUCCUCAUCUGUGUGAUCUUGAUCAUUUAAAGUGGAGCAAUUGGUUGAAAAUGGAGGCCCACAAAGUCCCAGGUUCGCCUCAUAAAUGGAUGGAUCAUUGAAUGUCGAGAAUUGGUUGGUUGUUGGAAUUGGUCCUGACAGGAGGUUAUGUGAUAGGUUCAAAUGGUUCAAUGAGGUUAUAGAAGACAUGCUCGGAGGAAUUGGACCUGAAAGGCGGUUGCAUGAGAGGUCAAGAGUUUCUAGCCCUUGCAUGGCUCCGAUCUUCUCAGGUAUUUUUCCAAUCAAUUGGUUUUGGGACAAAUUCAAGGUACCCAGGGUCGAGAGAUUUGUGAUCUCUUUUGGGAUCUCUUGUCAAAACUCAACCAAGAUGAAUACCCUAAUUUCAUAUAUACUGGAAUAUUUAACAAGGUGAAUACCCUAAUUUCAUAUAUACUGGAAUCUCCUAAUUAAAAACAAUGAGUAGAAAAAUAAUAGCGGAAGCAUACCUGAAUCCAUUGAAGGAGAAACCUUAUAGGAAGAAAACCCUUUGAGAUGGUCUUCCAAUUCUAGCCACUAGAUUCUGUGUCAAUUUCUCUCUGAGAGGAUUUUCAGAAAUUGGAAUGCGUAGUCGUAGAAUGGGGACCAUAACCCUAUUUAUAAACCGCUAGGGCAGUUUUAAUUUUAUCACAAUUAUAUUUCUGCCCCUCAUAGAAAUAAUAAUUGUCUAAUGGUAUCUACACAAUAAUCUCAUGACAAUUAUACCUUUAAGCCAAUUAAUCAAUUAAAAAUUAGAUCACUAUAUUUAGGCUUAAUUAAAUGAUAGCACACACAUUUUAAUUAUUUACAUGUGUGGCCCAAAUUAUAGAUUAAUUACAAAAAAUUAAUCUAACAAUCUCCCACUGGGCCACAUGCAUAUGUAAUCAAAUAAAUGUGCUUAACCUUAUGAGCUCAAAAUUUGCUAUCAUGUCCUUAGGGUAUAUCCGAACAAUCUCGUCCAUUAACUAUACUGACAUAGGAUCAAGGUGGCCUUUGUUACAUCAAUCGUUACUAGACCAAUCAAUGGUCACAUAUAUCUGCACAGCUAAAUGACAUAGAUCAAUCAUGAGUGCAUAGCAUGGAAAUUACAUGCAAUGUGAUCUAUUCAUGCCUAUUUCCAACUGGUCCAACUUAAAUUUAUUGAGAUCAAAUCUUUAGCAUAAUUUAACAGAGUGCAAUAAAAUGAAUACUUUAUUUCUGCAGAACACAAUCCAAAUGUAUAGAUAAAGUCUAAACAUAACAUAGAGCAAUAUACAAUGAAUAAUACAAACUCCCACUAAAUUUGGAUAUCCUCAAAUGAGACAACACCCAUAUGAGCAGUGUGCUCAUGAAAGACCUUGGGUGGUAAUCCCUUUGUAAGCGGAUCCGCUAUCAUGGAGUUUGUUCCAAUAUGCUCUAUGGAUAUCUGUCCACUCUGUACUUUUUCUUUUACAAUUAGGAACUUGAUAUCAAUGUAUUUUGAUUUUGUAGAACUCCUGUUGUUAUUGGAAUAUAAAACUGCUGAUUUAUUGUCACAAAAUAUCUUCAGUGGUCUUUCAAUACCAUCCAGAACACGCAGCCCAGUGACAAAAUUUCGUAGCCAUAUUCCUUGAUUGGAUGCCUCAUAACAUGCUACAAACUCUGCUUCCAUGGUGGAUGAAGUUACGAGUGUCUGUUUGGCAGACCUCCAUGAAAUUGCUCCACCAGCCAACAGAUAAAUAUAGCCUGAUGUGGAUCUUCUGCUGUCUUGGCAUCCAGCAAAGUCGGAGUCGGAAUACCCAAUCAACUCUAACUGAUCCAAUCUCCUAUAUGUAAGCAUGUACUCUUUUGUUCUCUGUAAAUAUCUCAUAACCCUCUUGGCUACUCUCCAAUGAUCCAUUCCAGGGUUACUUAGAUAUCUGCCUAACAUGCCAACAAUGUACGCAAUAUCCGGACGUGUACAUACCUGAGCAUACAUUAGACUCCCCACAGCCGAAGCGUAAGGAAUCUUCUGCAUUUCUUGACUUUCUAAACUAUUUUUAGGGCAUUGAUUAAGACUGAAUUUGUCUCCUUUAGCGACAGGGGUAUCACCUGGUUUGCUAUUUUGCAUGCCAUACCUUUGGAGGACUUUAUCAAUAUAGGUCCUUUGUGACAAUCCUAAAAUACCCCUAGAACGAUCUCGGUGUAUCUGGAUUCCUAAGACAAAGGAGGCAUCACCAAGAUCUUUCAUCUCAAAAUGUUUUGAUAAAAAUCUCUUGGUAUCGUGCAAUAUGCUGAUAUCAUUUGUGGCUAGCAAUAUGUCAUCGACAUAUAAAACCAGGAAAAUAUACUUACUCCCACUGAAUUUGUGAUACACACAUUCAUCUAUAAGAUUUGCCUCAAAACCAUAUGAGACAAUAAUUUGAUGAAAUUUGAAGUACCACUGACGAGAAGCUUGCUUGAGCCCAUAAAUGGAUUUAGUUAAUUUACAAACCAUAUUCUUUGAGUCUUCGGACACAAAAUUUUCUGGUUGUACCAUAUAAAUUGUUUCAUCAAUGUCACCAUUGAGAAACGCUGUUUUAACAUCCAUUUUAUGUAACUCAAGAUCAUAAUGUGCAACUAGUGCCAUGAUUAUCCUGAAAGAGUCCUUCGUAGAAACUGGAGAGAAGGUCUCUUUGAAGUCAAUUCCUUCUUUUUGAGUAAAGCCUUUAGCUACAAGACGUGCUUUAUAUCUUUCUACAUUACCAUUUGAAUCCCGCUUGGUUUUAAAUAUCCAUUUACAACCAAUGGGCUUCGUACCAACUGGUAAUGGGACAAGUUCCCAAACUUUAUUGUCUUGCAUAGAUUUGUACUCUUCAUUCAUGGCUUCAAUCCGUUUCUGAGAGUUGGAACUUUUCAUGGCUUGCUGGAAGUUGAUUGGAUCAUCUUCCAUCAUUCCACUUUCUACCUCACGUUCCUAAAGAUAUACGAUAUAAUCGUCCAAAAUUGCAUUUCUCCUCUCUCUAGUGGAUCUCCUUAAUGGCAUAUUUUCUUGAGGUUGUUGAGUUUGUUCUUCAGGAGCAAUGUCCUCAUUUGCAAUUAAGGGUUGAACAAUAUUGUCUGUUGGUUGAGGAUCCAAAUUUACUUGUUGAUCAAUGAUAGGUAGUGAAACCUGUACAUUAUCAAAAGCAAUAGUAGAUCCCUCUUCCUCCUCAAAGACAAUAUUCCUAGCCUGAUUUCUCCCCCCAAACUCAACAUCCUCAAAAAAUGUUGCAGUUCCCGUCUCAAAAAUUGACCUAAUAGCAGGAUCAUAAAAUUUAAAACCCCUUGAUCGCUCUGCAUAGCCAAUAAAGUAGCUGCUAACUGUUUUAGAGUCCAAUUUCUUUUCAUGAGGCUUAUAAGGUCUCGCUUCAGCUGGACAUCCCCAAAUAUGAAAAUGCUUUAAACUGGGCUUUCGACCCGUCCAAAGCUCAUAAGGCGUUUUAGCAGCCGCUUUAGUUGGCACCUGAUUUAGGAUAUAAGCUGUCGUUUUGAGUGCUUCACCCCAGAGUUUUUCGGGUAAAGUAGAAUGACUAAUCAUACUCCUUACCAUGUCCUUAAGGGUUCGGUUUCGUCUUUCUGCUACACCAUUCAUGCUAGGUGAUCCUGGCAUGGUGUAUUGAGGGACGAUCCCACAUUCCUCUAGGUAUUUAGCAAAUGGUCCUGGACGUUGUUCACCUGAUCCGUCAUAUCUACCAUAGUAUUCACCACCACGGUCAGAUCUGACGCUCUUUAUUCUUUUGUUGAGUUGUAACUCAACUUCUGCUUUAAAUGUUUUGAACACGUCCAAUGAUUGUGAUUUCUCAUGUAUAAGAAAUAGGUAGCCAUAUCUUGAAUAGUCGUCUAUGAAUGUUAUAAAGUACUGUUGACCAUUCCAAGAUGCCGUAGGGUAUGGUCCACAGAUAUCUGUAUGAAUUAAUUCUAAGACGUCUGUAGCUCUAUUGGCACCUAAUUUCUUUGUUUUGGUCUGUUUUCCUUUAAUACACUCAACACAAAUAUCAAAAUCUGAAAAGUCAAGUGAAUCCAAAAUCCCAUCGGACACAAGUUGCUCAACUCUAGAUUUAGAGAUAUGACCUAGGCGUUUGUGCCACAAUGAGGCCGAAUUAUCUUUAUUCAAUUUACGUUUUGUACCUCGUGAUUCCACAUGCAAGGUUUCAUUAUAGGACGGAACAGUUUCCAACAAAUAUAGAUUAUCAUAAACAUUAAGUAAACCGGUUCCUACAGCAUUUGAAUUAAUAGAUAAUGUAAAUCUAUUGUUUCCAAAUGAACAACAAUAACCUGAUUUGUCCAAAACAGAAACUGAAAUUAAAUUCCGUCUGAAAGACGGUACAACAAAAGUAUCUAUUAAAUCCAAAAAAUAACCAGAUUUCAAUAAUAAUCUAAAGUGCCCUAUUGCCUCUACUUCUACCGACUGACCGUCUCCGACAUAGAUGCAUCUUUCAGCAUCACUUGGUUUUCGGUAACUCAGGCAACCUUGCAUAGAAACACAAAUGUGAGUAGUAGCACCAGAAUCUAACCACCAUGUGUUUCUAGAUACUGAAGCUAAAUUAACUUCAGAACAGACCAAAGUAAGAAACAUACCUUUCUUAACACGCCAAGCAGCAUACUUGGUACAUUCCUUCUUAGUAUGUCCAGGCUUAUUACAGAAGAAACAUGUUACCUCAACUUUCUGUUUCUUUUGUUCUGGACCAUUAGAAGCAGCAACCUUAUUAUCCUUAUUCUUUCGUUUGCCCUUAUCCUUGGAAGUGCUAGCCAGAUGAGCAUUUUCGGUCUUGUCUUGCUUCAAUCUCUCUUCCUCUUGCACACAGAAUGAAAUGAGCUCAUUAAGAGUCCAUUUAUCCUUUUGACAGUUAUAACUGACCUUGAAUUGAUUAAAUUGUGCAGGAAGAGAGAUGAGAACCAAAUGCACGAGUAAAUCAUCAGAUAACUCGAGUUUCAAAGCCUUAAGUUUUGAAGCAAGAUGAGACAUCUCCAUGAUGUACUCCCGAACAUUACCCUUGCCUUUAUACUUCAUUGAAAUCAAGCUUGCUAAAAGCGUGCUCGUUUCAGCCUUAUCGUUUUUGGCAAAACGUUUCUGAAUUUCCGCAAGGAAGUCACUGGCAUUAGUAACCUCAUCGGUUACCGCACCCCUGAAAGCUUCUGGAAUGCCGCGCUUCAUGAUCAUAAGACUUAGCCUAUUUGAACGUUCCCACUUACCCCAAUAAACCUCAUCCUCUUGAGUACUUUCCUCAUUGAGUUCAUCGGGUUUGGGCAUUCUCAAGGCUAAGUCUAUAUCCAUGCAGCCUAAGAGAAUCAUCAUAUUCUCUUUCCAGUCCUUAAAAUUAGUCCCAUUUAACAUAGGGACAUUAUUGAUGUUGGCAGAUAUAGAAGUAGUUGAUAUAAAAGCUGAAUCGAGAACAAAAUAAAAUGAAUCAAAUAAACCAUCAUGCUCACAUAAAAUAAGCAAUUAAACACAUAAUCUUUAAAUUUAAAAGCAAAUUAUGACAUUUCAAGAUACCUAGCACAACAUUAAUAUCAAGUCUUUGGACAGUAAUAUUAACUGUAAGUGGUACUCUUGUUGUAGUGAUCAAACAUUGAUGAUAAGUUAUGUCAAAUAAUAAAUCUAUCUUUGGAUUGAUUUAUUAUUCACAUUAAGUUACCUUUAUAAUCAUCACAUAUUUAUCACCACGGGUAUGUAUGCAAUUUGACCAAAUAUUAACUUUCCUUUGGGCCAGUCAAUACCCGCAUGAAUCACAUACACACAAAUAUCUAACACCCCGAACAGACUAAUCUACACGAAAGAUGUCACUUUGGUGAUUUUCCGCUUUAAUUAGCCUAUUUAAAAUGCUAGAUCAAUAACUUAAAUAUUAAUAUCAUAAAAUGCUAUUAAAUAAUAAUAAUAAUAAUAAUAAUAAUAAUAAUAAUAAUAAUAAAAUAAAAAUUUAUCAACUCAAUAUUUCAUAAAUCUUAAUCCAUUGACAUAUAUAUAUAUAUUAAAAUAAUAACUCAAAGAAUUAAUCAAGGAGUAGGCUCUGAUACCACUUGUCAAAACUCAACCAAGAUGAAUACCCUAAUUUCAUAUAUACUGGAAUAUUUAACAAGGUGAAUACCCUAAUUUCAUAUAUACUGGAAUCUCCUGAUUAAAAACAAUGAGUAGAAAAAUAAUAGCGGAAGCAUAGCUGAAUCCAUUGAAAGAGAAACCUUAUAGGAAGAAAACCCUUUGAGAUGGUCUUCCAAUUCUAGCCACUAGAUUCUGUGUCAAUUUCUCUCUGAGAGGAUUUUCAGAAAUUGGAAUGCGUAGUCGUAGAAUGGGGACCAUAACCCUAUUUAUAAACCGCUAGGGUAGUUUUAAUUUUAUCACAAUUAUAUUUCUGCCCCUCAUAGAAAUAAUAAUUGUCUAAUGGUAUCUACACAAUAAUCUCAUGACAAUUAUACCCUUAAGCCAAUUAAUCAAUUAUUAAUUAGAUCACUAUAUUUAGGCUUAAUUAAAUGAUAGCACACACAUUUUAAUUAUUUACAUGUGUGGCCCAAAUUAUAGAUUAAUUACAAAAAAUUAAUCUAACAUCUCUCCCCAAAUGUUAUUGCUAGAAAGAUCUAUCAAAUUCACAAUUGGCAAUAUCUAUCAAAUUCCAUAUCUUGUCCCUUUACAACUAGCUCCAUGCGCUCCGAAUAGUAUUCAUGAAUUCUGGGGUCGUCAAAAUUUCUGUCUAAUAAGGUCACAAAACUUAAAGCAGUUAAAUUGCCUAAGCAUUGUGGGAUGAAUCCUGAUAAAUUGUUCAGUGCAAGAUCCAAAAUGUGGAGAUCAGAAAGCCAACACAAUUGCUCAGGAAUAUCUCCUGUGAACAUGUUGCCUCGUAGACGCAGAUGCUCCAGUGAUGGCAUUCUUUCUCCAAUCCAUUUGGGUAUCUCCCCCGAAAACCUGUUUUGUAAACUUAGAGUGAGUUCCCCAGUAAGAUUGUUGUCACCCAAUAUCAACAGAAUAAGUGAAGAUUUUGAACACAUCCAACUCGGAAUCCCACCAGACAGUUUGUUCUUGGAUAGAUCUAUGGUCUGAAGACUCUGCAAAUCAUUCCAAUUUUUUGGAAUCUUUCCAGAUAAAUGAUUGUUUGAGAGAUCGAUUACUGCCAAAUCCUUUAGUUUACUAAUUGAUGAAGGAAUGCUGCCAUUUAACAAGUUACCAGAAACAUCAAGGACUCUCAAACUCGAUGAUUCCCCGAUGUUCAAGGGAAUUGGACCUGAAAAUGAAUUGUUUCCGAGAAAGAGCAAUGUCACAUUAAACCAAAGUGGUAAUCGGCCCACCAAGCGGUUGAAGCUUAAAUCCACCAGGAAUGCUUUUGGGCUAAAGGAUAAUGAAUUGGGAAGCCUUCCAUACAAUUGGUUUCUAGAAAGAUCUAACCAUGAAAAAUCUAGUUUCCAAAGCCAUUCUGGUAUUGUAUCUGAAAUCCCCACAUUUUUAAGAACUAUUGUGUUAAGUAUUUUUUGAGUUCUAAGCCAGUUGGGGAACUUGGGAGAUAAUACAUAGCAGUUGGAAAUAUCGAUAGACAAGAGGCUGAAGGGAGGAAUCCAUUCAGGUCUCACGUGAAAACGGAGAGACUGGUUUUUGGGUGAUAAGUGUAAAGAGAAAUAUUCCAGUUUUGUAAGAUUAAUGAAAUGAAUUUCAGAUAUUACCCCUUCCCAAGAAUUCCAAUCAAGACCCAACUCAGUCAGCUCUCUAAGUUGUCCGAUACUUUUUGGAAUAGUCCCAUUCAUUAGAUUGUUUGACAAGUGAAGUCUCUUCAUCCGCAGCAAGUUUCCAAUCCAUGUUGGAAUUGGACCUGAGAUGGAGUUUUCACUCAGAUCAAGACUCUCUAAGUUGGUAAGGUGUUGAAUUGAAUUGGGGAAGGGACCAACAAAACUAUUAUUGCUCAAGUCCAAGGAUUUUAAAUUCUUAAAGAGCCCUAAUGAAUCUGGCAACUGACCACUGACUUGAUUACUGCCCAAGUUUAACUCUUCCAAGGAAUUAUUAGUGCAUGCUGAUAAUCGAUUCAGGAAUUCAAUUCCUUCACCUCCAAUACUAUUGUAUGAGAGAUCUAAGGUCACCAAGUUGCGAAGGCAUCGCAAGUUAACAUGGGGAAUCGGACCUUUAAUUGUACCACCAUUUAAAUAAAGAUCCGUAAGGGUACUGACGUUAAACAACCAGCCAGGCAAAGUAGUGUUGAAAUUGUUGUAGGAGAGAUCAAUGACCAAAACCGAAGUCAAAUUAACAAAUGUAUUGGAGUACUGAGGGAAGUGACUGAGUUCACAAACGGACAAAUGUAAUUCUAACAAAAAUGGAAGCAUGUUUACAGCUCGCAUCCAAUUUGUGGUUGUUUUACUAAGGUCCACAUACCCCAGAUCAAGGUAUUUUAAAGAAGAAAGACCAGAAAGCCAAUUUAAAUUAGAAACCCUCAUUGGAUAAUCUCCUCCUCCAAAAAGAUCAAGAUAACGUAACUGUGAUAAAUUUCCAAGAUGAGGAGGAAUCAUCCCACCAAAUCGUGCAUUAGAGAGAUUAAGGUAUCUGAACCUUUCAAAUGAGCCCAAGAAAUUUGGAAUUGGAAUUCCUUGAAAAUCAUUAAGACUUAGGUCUAGGUAAGUUAAAUGUUUCAAGUCAAGUAAGGAACCACUUAUCUCACCACCCAAAAGAAAGAAGCCACGAUCUCUGAGGUCAACCUUGACAACAUUCCCUGUCCGAUUGUUGCAAUCCACACCUGUCCACUUGCAGCAAUCAGAACCAAUCCAGGAAGAAAGCCUACCUGAAGGAUCAUACAGGCCAUGUUUGAAUUCAAGAAGCGCUUUCCGCUCUUCCUCAAUGCAAGCUUUGUUGAGAUCAAUGUCAUUAGAAUUGAUUGUAAGAGCUUCAACCAUGAGAAACUUCAAAAACAGAGAAAGCAAAAGAAUAAGGAGUGGAACGGUGGUUUUCCUACUUGCCAUUGAUGAAUGCAAAGUUGCACAAUUCUGAAUUGAAACCAUAUAAAUAAAUAAGAUUAGAGUCUUGGUCUAAUUUGUUUAACUAUUUCAAGUCUUCAUGCCAUCUAUAAAUAAAUGCAACAAAGACCUUUCAGCCAUAUAUAUCUGCAAUUAAUUUUACAUGUCACUUCUGACCACAAUUUUAUCCUUCUCUUUCUUCAUAACAUCUUAUGGCUAUUGAAACAUGUAUUAUUAAAGAAUCUAGACGGCAAUAAAAGCAUGAUUUAUGCCCAAAAAUACCCACAAAGUAAUGGCAUAUUAUAUGAUUCAAGUGUCUAAAGCUCUAUGCUAUGUAAGUGGAGUAUUAUCUUUUAAAAAUAUUUCUUGAAUGAGCCACCAUCAUCACAAAUUUUUUAAAAUAUGAUCACCUUCACUGUUUUUUUUUUCUCUUUCAAAAAUGUGAUUUUUUUUUUUUUUUGAGAAAUCGUUUCAUUUUUUCUAUCAUGCUAAUCCUUAAAUUAUAUUAAUCAAUGAGCAUUUGGCACGCUAAUUCUAUUUACAUUGGAUUCAGUUUCAAUCCUUCUCAAUGUUAAUACAUUUUUAAUUUUGAAAAAUAUAUGAUGCACGAUAAUCUAAACAAAUAAUAAAUUUUUCUCUAUUUUAUUGAUCUAAUAGAUUGAUUUAGAAAAUAUGUUAGGCCAAUACUAGUGUUUUAUUGAUCUAUUUUAUUAAAUAAAACAUUUUUUUACUCCUGCCAAAAUUUUCUCAUACGAACUAUUUACUAAGUCUAAUAUGGAUCAUGUUGAAGAUAAGUACAUGAAACUUCCUACUCCAUAUUAAGCAUUAUAUAUGGUGAAAAUAAAAUAGAAUUUUAAAUAAUGCUUUAACAUAUAAUGUAUGCAUGUAUUAAAAAAAAAAAAACAUCUUUUGACUCUUGCCAAAAUUUUCUCUUGUGGACGGUUAACUAAGUCUAAUAUGGAUAGUGUAGGAAGAAUAAUUAAUUGAAGGAAGGUACAUGAAACUUUCUACUCCAUGUUAAGUAUUAUAUAUGGUGAAAAUAAAAUAGAAAUUUAAAUAAUAUUUAAUGUAUGAUGCAUGUAUUAAAAAUAGAAAAACAAAAACAUUUUUUGACUUUAGCCAAAAUUUUCUCCUGUCGUUUGCUAAGUCUAAUAUGGAUCGCGUAGGAAGAAUAAUUAAUUGAAGGAAGGUACAUGAAACUUCCUAUUUUAAGUAUUAUAUAUGGUGACAAUAAAAUAAAAUUUUAAAUAGUAUUUUAAUGUAUGAUGCAUGUAUUAAAAAUAGAAAAACAAAAACAUUUUUUGACUUUUGCCAAAAUUUUCUUAUGUCGUUUACUAAGUCUAAUAUGGAUCGUGUAGGAAGAAUAAUUAAUUGAAGGAAGGUACAUGAAACUUCCUAUUUUAAGUAUUAUAUAUGGUGAAAAUAAAAUAAAAUUUUAAAUAAUAUUUUAAUGUAUGAUGUAUGUAUUAAAAAAAAAACAUUUUUUGACUUUUGCCAAAAUUUUCUCAUGUGGACCAUUUACAUGGUUUAAUAUGGAUCGUGUAAUAAGAAAAAUCAAUAUUUUCAAAAUUGGAUCGGUCAUUGAACUAGAAAAGUUAUCGAUUCAUGGUUCACUAGUCAAACCAACGAUCAAACCGAUGAUGUCAUAAAUAUAUAAUUUAUAAAUUAUUAAAAUUUAAAAGAAUUAUAAAAAUAAAAAUAAUAAUUUAUAUAUUAUUUUAAAAUUAAAAUUUUAUUUGAAAAUAAAAAAAUUAGAUUCAAAUUAGAAAUUUAAAUUAAAAUCAUAAUUUUAAUUUUGAAAUUUUGAAAUUUAUUUUUAAAUCAAAAACUUAUUUUAAAAUCAUAAUUUAUUUAAAAUUGUGAUGUUUUGAUUAAUUUAAAUUAAAAUCAUAAGUUUUAAAAAUCAUAAAGUAAAAAAAUAAUAAAUAUAAAAGAAAAUAAAUAAUAAUUAGAUGAGGUAAAAAAAAAAAUAAAUAAAUCUAGAAAGGAAUGGAAUAAAUGGUGGCCCAAAAUGGGAAGAAGGAAGGAUUAGGAGGAGGUGGUUUUUAGAUGGGGGUGGAACUUCUAGUGGGGAAGGGUUUUCGCCACGAGGGGAUAGGGGGUUUUGCCAUUGAGGGAGCGACGUCUAACCGACCAGUGGCCGAUGACAGCAACUCAGUGUCGAUGAAAAUAGGAGGUAGUAGCUAGGGCAACCGUGCGAGAGGGGUUGUUGGGAAGAAAAAAAAAUGAUUUAGAAAAGUUAUCGAUUCAUAAUUCACUAGUCAAACCGACGAUCAAACCAAUGAUGUCAUAAAUAUAUAAUUUAUAAAUUAUUAAAAUUUAAAAGAAUUAUAAAAAUAAAAAUAAUAAUUUAUAUAUUAUUUUAAAAUUAAAAUUUUAUUUGAAAAUAAAAAAAUUAGAUUCAAAUUAGAAAUUUAAAUUAAAAUCAUAAUUUUAAUUUUGAAAUUUUGAAAUUUAUUUUUAAAUCAAAAACUUAUUUUAAAAUCAUAAUUUAUUUAAAAUUGUGAUGUUUUGAUUAAUUUAAAUUAAAAUCAUAAGUUUUAAAAAUCAUAAAGUAAAAAAAUAAUAAAUAUAAAAGAAAAUAAAUAAUAAUUAGAUGAGGUAAAAAAAAAAAUAAUAAUAAAUCUAGAAAGGAAUGGAAUAAAUGGUGGCCCAAAAUGGGAAGAAGGAAGGAUUAGGAGGAGGUGGUUUUUAGAUGGGGGUGGAACUUCUAGUGGGGAAGGGUUUUCGCCACGAGGGGAUAGGGGGUUUUGCCAAGGGAGCGACGUCUAACCGACCAGUGGCCGAUGACAACAACUCAGUGUCGAUGAUAAUAGGAGGUAGUAGCUAGGGCAACCGUGCGAGAGGGGUUGUUGGGAAGAAAAAAAAUGAUUGAACCGGAUGAUUCGGAGGGAAUCGUUUGGUUUGUCCAGUUUGUCAGUCAAACCGUCAGUUCAAUCGAUCCAAUUCUGAUUUGACUACCUUCCAACCUAAUAGACCAAACCGAACAGAAAUCGUUAGUAACUGGCGAUCGAACCGAUUAGACCAACCAGUCCGGAUUGAUUUUUAAAAACAUGAGAAUAAUUAAUUGAAGAAAGCUACAUGAAACUUCUUACUCCAUGUUAAGUAUUAUGGUGAAAAUAAAUAUAAAUUUAAAUAAUAUUUUAAGUAUGAUGCAUGUAUUUUAUCUUUAAAAAAAAAAAUUAGUGUCUUGCAAGAAUUUUCUCUUGUGGAUCAUUUACUAAUUCUAACAUGGAUUGUGUACAAAGUAUAAUUACUUGAAGGAAGCAAAAUGAAACUUCCUACUCCACGUUAAGUAUUAUGGCCAAAAAUAUAUAUAUAUAUAUAUAUAUAUAUAUAUAUAUAUAUAUAUAUAUCAUGAAAAUUUAUUUUAUUAUAUAUAUAAAGGGCUAGAAAAAUGCAUAUAUAGUGGGUGUCAUUUUUUUUUUGUUUAAAAUAUGAAUACACCUGAAUUUGACUUAAAUCUAAAUAAAAUUGAAUGUUAUUAAGUGUUUAAAUUGUGUGUUUUUACUAAUAUUUGAAGUAUUAAGCUUAUUUAUUUUUACAUAUUAAAUAUAUAUAUAUAUAUAUAUAUAUAUAAUUACUAUAUUUUAUUAUUUUAGUUUUAAAAUUAAUAAUAUAAAAACAUUAAUUUAAUAUAUUUUUAAAUAUUCCAAACUAUCAUAAUUUAUCACCAUAAUAAAAAAUUUAUAAUGAUUAAUUAUAUAAUUAGUAGGCAAUUAACAAAUAGAUUUCUAGUUAUGUUUGGUUGUUAAGAAAAUAUUAAAAAAUUUCUAAGUUAAAACUUAUUUUUAUAUAACCUAUCUUUGGAGAAAGAAGGGGUGAAGGUUUUAAUGAAUUUGAAAACUAUAUAUUUAGAUUUUGAUACUUUUUCCUAAAUUCAAAAUUCUGAAAUUAAAAAAUUGAUCUAAAAAAUAUUCAUAAAAAUAUUUUUAUUCUAGUGAAUAAUUGGUGAGUAAGUUCAAAUGUAUGAACCUACCAAACCAACUUCAAACCUGUCCAAUCCAACCUAAUUAGUUGGGUUUGUUCAUUUUGGCUUUUCAUAGCAAUUCAUGAGAAUAUUUUUAUUCUACAUUAAUAGAGAAAAUAAAUAAAAACAAAUUUAAGUCAUACUUAGAUUUUUUUAUGACAAAUUUACUAAUUCAUGGUAGAUUAAUUUAUUAUUCUAAUUACACAAUGUUUAAGUAGUUUAAUUUUUUAUUUUAAAAAACAAGAAAUAUCUAAAAAAUUUAAAAAUAAAUUUGGUUUAUUUUGAAGGAGGAAUUAGAUUUGAAUAUUAUAAUAAAUUUAAUAGUUGAAAAAAAUGAAAUUUUAUUUUCUCAAAAAAUUUCACUAUUCCUCUUAAAAUAAAAUUAUCUCUGAAAAGUAAUAACCUAAAAAAAAAAACCAUCAUAAAAAUAUAUUAAUUAUAUUACAUGGAAUUUAUGUUUUAAAGAAAUAAUAUCAAUAUAAAUUCCAAAUUUUGAAGUUAUUUCUUUAAUAAAUAACUUAAAAGUUUGAUAAUUAAAUUGAAAUUAUCUUUUGAAGAAAUUUCCCAUUUUACUUUUCACAAUUUCCUACAAAGUAAGAAAUUAUUUUUCAAUUGUCAUAUUUUAAAAAAUAUUAUAUUUUGUUCAAAAUCCCCAAGGAAUAGAUCCAUUGAAUAUUAUUUCACACGUGUUUAUUGUUCACCAAAUUUUCAAUUAUCAAAUUAAUUAAUGUAAUGAAAAUUAUUGAAAUAUUACUUCUUGUUUUUUUAAUCUAACUAGUACCGGUCCUUAUGCGCAUAGGUUAGGGUAUUUUUAUAUACCCAUAAAAAGAACACCUUGUUGGUCCAAUUAAACAGUUUAAAUUGCUUGCUUUCUUUUUGUAGUGUCUAAAAUGAUGGUUGUUUGCAAUUCAGGUGUUGCUUUCGAUAUGUUCUCUGUUGAUGUACAAGACGACUGAAGCAAGUAUGAGACAACUGCAAGGAGCUGGACCCAAAAGUAGGUCAUGGGUCAAGUUUUGCAUUUUUAUGUGUGGGGGCAGACCCUUUCUAUAUCUCUCUCUAAUCUCUAUAUCUCUCUUCAAUCCUAAAAUGGACAAAAAAGAAAGGUCCAAAACAUGCUCUCAAUUGAAAAGAAGAAAUCUCUCUAUGUCUCUCUAUCUCUCUCUUCAAUCCUAAAAUGGACAAGAAAGAAAGGUCCAAAACAUGCCGGCCCUCAAUUGAAAAGAAGAAAAAACAAAGACUCAACUUUUAUAUUGUUUGAAUGCAAUCACACUCGUGGAUUUUCUAAUGUUUUGAUUCUAUUCUAACCGAGCACUUACUAAUUUUGAUAAUUAAAGAAGACAAAUUUUCCAUUAUUAAAGUUUAGGAGUGAAAGUGUGGACAAUUGCCCUGGUUUGAUUCGUUCAAUUUUAAGUAUAAAAUCAAAUCAAAUCAAAUCAGUCUUACAUGUUUUUAUGUAUGAAGAAUUGAACAAAUUAGUUACCAAAUCUUUAAAGUUUAGUCUUGCCGAUAUGAGAGAAAAAACAAAAUUCCUUGUCUUGUCCACAUGUCGUGGACAAUUUGUUUGAAUGAGGAAUCCAUGUCACCAAUUAAGCUCUAAGGUCACUGUCCCAAGGGAAAGGUUCAUGAUGAAAAAUUCAAAUGGUGGUUUAAUAUAUAAUAUAUAAUUUAUUAUUAUUAUUAUUAUUACUUUAUUUUAUUUUAAGAUGAGAGGUUCUUCAAGCAAGUGUAUUAGGCCAAUUUCUUCUUUUGUUACAUCAUUUAUUUAUAAAAAUAAGAUAGAUAUUUAAAAUAAAAUACAUUCAUAUAAGAUAAUAAAUAUGAAAAUAAUUUAGGAAAAAAAUACACUAAGAUAAUAAACAACCAUUGGAAGUAAAAUUUUAUUUUGCUUAUAUAUGGUAUAUCUUUUUUAAUAGUAAAUACUAUAAUAUAAUUAUUUAAUAAAUUUAGAAAUAUUAAUAUAUUUAUAUUUUAUUGUUAUAAUAUUGUAAAGAUAGAAACACAUUUUGAUUAUUUGUAUUUUUUAAUUUUAUGAUGAUUAUGAUUCGUCCCUAGCAGCGGCAAUGGCAAUGGCACCAUCUGAUUCGGGGUUCGAUCCCCGGCAACGGUGCCAUUUGAUUCGGCCCAAUUAGUGUCUCAGCUGAUUCGUGUCCAGCUGGUGCUCCUUGAUUGAGGGAUUAAUCAACAAAAUUUAUAACCUAUUACACCAUAUACUAGGGUAGCAAAGACAAAGCUACUAUAGCAUAGUGGCUCUAGGAUCGUUCACUGGGAUGGGUUUUCACUUCACAAAUGAUAUUAAUUCAAAGCUGAAUUGGUGUCUUUUCAUUUCAAGGUUAGCUUUAAAAGAAAACAUAAAGAUGUUUGAAUGAAAAGAGAUUGGUUUUAAGCUAACCAAAAAUAGUAAAUGAUUUUACUUACAAAGAAAAGUGUUUCUUGGAGUUUCAGAUCACUAGGCUUAGAUUCCUCAUACAAAAAGGGAGUUCCGGUCACUUGUUUCUUNNNNNNNNNNNNNNNNNNNNNNNNNNNNNNNNNNNNNNNNNNNNNNNNNNNNNNNNNNNNNNNNNNNNNNNNNNNNNNNNNNNNNNNNNNNNNNNNNNNNUCUUCAUUAAAAACUAAAACAACAAAACUUCCAAAUUAUGCAUGUGGAAACUUACCCGGCUUUCCUCACUCCAAAAGACAAAAAGCUUAGCCUCUCAUCCUCUGAGGAAAAAUCCUCAAAGUUUGGUUGGCUAGAAAUAAAAAGAAAUGAAAAAUGAAAGAGAAGGGAAAAACAGAGCAAGGCUCUGUAUAUUCUAUAUAUUGAUCGAUGGAUUACAUAUAUGAUGAUUUUACAGUGGAUGCAAGGGAGUUUAUAUAGGAAGGUAAUUUACCCUUCCUUGGAUACUUUCUAGCUAAGGAAUUACAUGAGUGGUUGAAUACAAGGAGAAAAUGGAAAUUAUACAAAAAUAUCUAAAGAAAAGAUCUAAAAGAGUCGGUGCAUAAAUAUCGGGAAGCUCCAGGAAUCAUUUCGCAAGAGAAAAUGGUGUCUGCGAGAUUUCGCAGACACUCAAGAGGGCUGUGAAAUCACUUCGCAACAUCAAGCUAUUCUCGUAGGGCUGCGAAGUUGGCUUCCACCUUGAUGUUCUCAGCUUCCAGCUUGCAGCAUAUAUCGGGCAACUUCAGGAGGAAAUCCACAACACUGUACAAAAAGGCUGCGAAAUUCUCGCAACAAAAGGCUGAUUCCGCAACACUUUAGAGUGAUUGACUUGCAAUGGCUGUAACUUCUAUAUUUCAACUCCGAAUUGCGCACCGUUUGAAGCAUUGGAUUCUUGACUUCCUGAGCUUUGAAAUGGUAUAUAGAAUGUAGAAAAUGGACUUUGGGAAGUGCUCCAAAAGUGCACAAGAAGACUGCAGCUGCUGUCCUAUGUUUUCUUCACUCUGUUUUUCCUCUCUCCUUACUUCUCUCCUUGCAUACUUUGAACGACUUUGGCAAAGGGAUAUGGGGCUCCAAAGCUUGGUUCUUCAUGAAUUUGAGCUCUUCAUAGCUUUGCCAUGGUUUCCAAAUAACUCUCCUCAAUCUUGGAUUGUUUUGGUGAUCAAAUUACUAACAAAAACACCAAAACUUACACAAUUUGGUUAGAAUUGAUUGCAAGGGUCCUUAACAUGUUAAUUGAGUUAAAAGGCAAUAACUACUACUCAAAAGUGUUUAAAAGGAUUAAUUACAAGCUACAAAAUAGCACUUUUUGAGUAGUAAUCACUCCCCCCAACUGACAUAUUGCUAGUCCCUUAGCAAUGAAGGAGAGAAAAAUAAAAUAAAAGUACCAUAAUUUACAACAUCAUGCUGAUCACUUCAAAAAAUGUUUAAGUGGCAUGACUGAUCAAACUCUCACAUGGAACAUUAAAGAAAUAAAACUCAAACUUCAACAAGAGUUAUCAAAUAACUUGUCUAAUCACAAUUCUUAAAGAAAAGGCAUUAUGCAAAUUUAAGCUUUAAAAUCAUUUCCACUUCCAAAGGAUCAAACCUUACUCUUCCACAAAAAUCUAAGUGUUAUUUAUUAGCUUCCGAAUAUAGUAUGUUAAACUAAUCUCUCCCCCCAACCUAGUUCUUUUUCAAAGCUUAGCAAACUAAUCAACCUCCAAUAGGCUAAGAACGCACCUCUUUUUUCACAAUUUUUUUCAUUGUAGGAGUACAAGGCUUAAAGGUAUUAUUUUUUUUAAUUGUCCAUGUAACGGGGGUCCAUCGAUGACUCCCAACCAAUUAAGGUUUAGGGCAUCAAGCUUUAAAGAUCUUUCAACCACUAACUCCUCGGAUUUUACCCCGGACUUUUGAGAAUGAAUUUUAAUACCCAAACACCUACAUUAUGCUAAACUCCACCUAUUCACCCUUGUAACGAGCAUUGAGGUCGGUGACUCCCAACCAAUGAAGGCUUAGGGCACCAGGUUUUAAAGAUUUUCACCAUAUACCCCUCAGACCUUGCUCGGGUUUCAAGGCAAGCAAACAUUUUUUCUUUCUUUCUUUUUUCUCUUCAAAGACUCAUUGGCCUUUUAUAAGGUGUCCCAACACUAUUAAAUAAGGUCAAAGGUACCAAGUCUAAAAUUUUCCUAAGUCAAGAGGGAAAUAGUUUUUCAUCUUAUACUCGGAACCUAUUGUGCACAGUGUGUGGAUAGCUUAAAGUGGAAGAACUAAGGUUGACUUCAAUAGAAGUUUCAACAAUUCAUCAACUUUAGUAAGCAUAAUACAAACUCUAAGUCAAGUAAAAAGACAAAAAUUCAAUUUCUUCCAUUUCAUUUUGAAAAUUUUUCCUUAAUAACCAUGGAGAGUAGAAUAAAAACUUAAAAAAUUUAAAAUUAAGCAAAAAACAACUAAAUUACCAAAAUAACUUAGCAUUAUUAACAAUACUUACUUCCUCAACUCUCCCCCCAACCGAGAUGAACAUUGUCCUCAAUAUUUGAAUUUGAAAAUAAGGAGGAAGGAAGUGGUACCUCUUUAGUGACAUGGAGUUUGAGUCGUAUAGGAGAAACCACAUGUUUCAAAGAAAGCAUAAGAGUUAGUGAGUAGAGGAAAUAGAAAAAUGCCAAGUUUAAACAAAAAAUGAUGUCUAUGUAUGAUGUAUCAUCAGUAAUACAUCCAAUCCCAAAAUGUAAGACAUCAAAACAUGGAAUUAUCUAUAUUAAUAUAAUAUGUAAAGACAAAAAAAUAAAAAGAUGAUCAAGUAAUGGUAAGGUCCUGUUGAGCUGAUGCAUCUGUGGUGGCCUCUUGAGUGGGUUGGAUCAAGACUUUGGCCUCUGUUCUGGUAGUCUCCUUAGGUGGCAUAGUCUUCUCAACUGGAGCUCUCAGUUGGUAGUUAUGGGAUUUGAUGGUUUAAGGAGGUCAAUAAUGGAGUGAGAGACUUUGUGUGUGUGAUCUCAAGGUGCUCGGGGCUCUCCUCUUCAGAUGCAUGGUCGCGGGGCUCUGUUGGCAUUUUAGCAACUUCCCUUGGCUUUGCAAAGUGUUUUUGCAAAUCACCCUCCAUUUCACAAGUCAAUUUCGCAAUUUGCAAGCCAUUUCUAAGCUUGGAGGUGAUUUCGCAACCAUUUUGAAGCUUGGAGAUCAUUUCGCAUCCAUUUCGCAGCUCAAAAGUGAUUUUGCAGCCCAAAAUUGAUUUCGCAGCUCAUUUCGCAGCUGCAAAAUGAGUGUACGGGGCUUCGAAAUGGCUCUCAUGUGCCAAAAAAUGGUUUCACAGCUGUAUCGCAGCUUCGAAAUGAGGGGAACUGUGCUGCAAAUGGCACUCGUGUGCCAAAAAGUGGUUUCGCAGCUGCGAAACACCCUUCCAAAUGGCGUCUUGGCUGCGAAAUUCUCGCUCAACUUUGCGCGCUUGUCUUCAAACGACCAUAAAUUCUUCAUUUUACCUCCAAAUUGCAUACCGUUUGAAGCGCUGGACUCCUGACUUCCCAAGAUUUCAAACAAGAUAUCGUAUGCAUAAUUUGAGCUCCAGGAAGUGCUUCAAAAAUGUGUCCAACAGUAGCGAAAUGGAGGUGCAACAUUUCCGUUCAUGGUUUGCACAGUCAUCUUCAAACGGCCAUAACUUUUCCGUUUCAAAUCCAAAUCCAGCACCGUUUGAAUCUGUGGACUCGUGACUUCCCAAGCUUUCAAAUGAGAUAUUGCAUGCAUAAUUUGAACUUCAGGAAGUGAUCGAGAUGUGUCCAACAAUUGCCGAAAUGGGGUGCGGCUGUGAAAUUGAGAUUUUUCACAUUUUGGGAUUUCGCAGCCAUUUCGCAGCCAUUUCGCAGCUGCGAAAUGAGGGUCACUGUGCUGCGAAAUGGCACUCGUAUGCCAAAAGUGGGUUUCGCAGCCGCNNNNNNNNNNNNNNNNNNNNNNNNNNNNNNNNNNNNNNNNNNNNNNNNNNNNNNNNNNNNNNNNNNNNNNNNNNNNNNNNNNNNNNNNNNNNNNNNNNNNNNNNNNNNNNNNNNNNNNNNNNNNNNNNNNNNNNNNNNNNNNNNNNNNNNNNNNNNNNNNNNNNNNNNNNNNNNNNNNNNNNNNNNNNNNNNNNNNNNNNNNNNNNNNNNNNNNNNNNNNNNNNNNNNNNNNNNNNNNNNNNNNNNNNNNNNNNNNNNNNNNNNNNNNNNNNNNNNNNNNNNNNNNNNNNNNNNNNNNNNNNNNNNNNNNNNNNNNNNNNNNNNNNNNNNNNNNNNNNNNNNNNNNNNNNNNNNNNNNNNNNNNNNNNNNNNNNNNNNNNNNNNNNNNNNNNNNNNNNNNNNNNNNNNNNNNNNNNNNNNNNNNNNNNNNNNNNNNNNNNNNNNNNNNNNNNNNNNNNNNNNNNNNNNNNNNNNNNNNNNNNNNNNNNNNNNNNNNNNNNNNNNNNNNNNNNNNNNNNNNNNNNNNNNNNNNNNNNNNNNNNNNNNNNNNNNNNNNNNNNNNNNNNNNNNNNNNNNNNNNNNNNNNNNNNNNNNNNNNNNNNNNNNNNNNNNNNNNNNNNNNNNNNNNNNNNNNNNNNNNNNNNNNNNNNNNNNNNNNNNNNNNNNNNNNNNNNNNNNNNNNNNNNNNNNNNNNNNNNNNNNNNNNNNNNNNNNNNNNNNNNNNNNNNNNNNNNNNNNNNNNNNNNNNNNNNNNNNNNNNNNNNNNNNNNNNNNNNNNNNNNNNNNNNNNNNNNNNNNNNNNNNNNNNNNNNNNNNNNNNNNNNNNNNNNNNNNNNNNNNNNNNNNNNNNNNNNNNNNNNNNNNNNNNNNNNNNNNNNNNNNNNNNNNNNNNNNNNNNNNNNNNNNNNNNNNNNNNNNNNNNNNNNNNNNNNNNNNNNNNNNNNNNNNNNNNNNNNNNNNNNNNNNNNNNNNNNNNNNNNNNNNNNNNNNNNNNNNNNNNNNNNNNNNNNNNNNNNNNNNNNNNNNNNNNNNNNNNNNNNNNNNNNNNNNNNNNNNNNNNNNNNNNNNNNNNNNNNNNNNNNNNNNNNNNNNNNNNNNNNNNNNNNNNNNNNNNNNNNNNNNNNNNNNNNNNNNNNNNNNNNNNNNNNNNNNNNNNNNNNNNNNNNNNNNNNNNNNNNNNNNNNNNNNNNNNNNNNNNNNNNNNNNNNNNNNNNNNGCAAUUCCUCUUGAUUUUGAUCAUCCAAAAACCUAUAUUACAUCAAAACAAACUAGAAUUAAAGCAUUGAAAUCAAAAUUAAAGCAUUGAAAUCAAAAUUAAAACAAGUAAAAAAAAACAAAACAAAAAGAUAUGGACUAGCUAGUCUUUAAAAAGACUAAGUCCAUCAAAAAAUUUGAUCCUGAUUUAGCUUGCCCGGAUCCCAUAUGAAGUUUGCAUUCCUCCCUUGAGACGUUCUCUGUAUGAUUUUGCCAUACAAAGCUUGGAGAAAAGGUGGAAGCAUGUGUUUCUUCAUCAAUUCUUUCUUGAUGACUAUCCUCUGUGGUUUUCUUUGUACAUUAACCUCAUAGUCAUCUUUCUCUAUGCUUUUCCCCUUUUUCUUUCCUUUGAUUUCCUCCCUAUUUUCUUUCUCUGUUUCACUCUCUACCUUAUGCUUUAGCUUGCAUGUGGGCAAAUCAACCUCUUUACCACUCAAAGUGAUAACCGUUUUAACUUCCUUCACCAUUGAAGAUUCUUCAUCUUAAGCCUCCAUUUCAUGGAUACUCAUGGAAUUUUGAUAAGGUUGAGAAGGAGAGUUUUCUUUCUCUUGCACUGUGUUGAGGUUGGCUAACCUUGAGAUUGAAUCUUGGAGAAUAUCUAACUUUUGGGCCAUAUCAUUUUGCAUUUCAUCCAUCCUUUUAUUCAAAGUACUCUCCAUACUGUCAAUUCUUUGAUUGAUUUGAGCAUUGAUGGCUUCUUGCUUUCCAACAAAAUCUCCCACGACCUUGCAAAGAUUCACCAUAGCUUGUUCAAGGAUUGAGGCUUGCUGUGGUGCUUGAGCAGGUUGCUGAUACUGAGGUGGCUGUGGUUUCCAAGAGAAAUUUGGAUGGUCCCUCCAAUUGGAAUUGUAGGUGUUGCAAUCACGAAACAUUUCCCUCUCGGCUGGAAUGGUAGGACACUCAUCCACCAAGUGCUCAUAAGAUAGACAAAUGGCACAAGGCAUAGCUUGCAAUGGUGUCUGAGAAAUGGCUUGCACUGGUUGCAUCUGGUUCAUUUCUAGCUCUUCCAAUCUCCUUUCCAUAGUUGCAAUCUCUGCCUUCAUGUUCAUACCAUCAUUCAAAAUAUACAUCUCACCCUUAGCUUUAGGUUGAGACGUCAUUCUUCCCUUAUCUCUAGCAUUUGGUUCAUCCCAUUCUCUUGAAAAUUCAGCCACAUAACUCAAGAAGUUCAUGGCUUCUUCUGCUAUCUCGUAAUCAAUAUAGCAUGCACAACUAGCAAUUUGUGAAUUAAAAACAGAGAAUACAAAAGAAAACAAAAGAAAAACAAUUCAAAGAAAGAAAAUUAAGGUAAACUAAAACCUAAAUAAAAGGUAUACUAAAACAUGAACAAUAAAGAAAUAAAAAGAGUUAGUAAAAGGAAAAGAAAAGUCACCAAACUUGUGAUGGAGAUCACAAGUACUCUUAAAAGAUCAUAUCACUGCAAAGUGGCACCAUCCCCGGCAACGGCGCCAUUUGAUUCGUCCCUAGCAGCGGCAAUGGCAAUGCCACCAUCUGAUUCGGGGUUCGAUCCCCGGCAACGGCGCCAUUUGAUUCGUGCCCAAUUGGUGUCGCAGCUGAUUCGUGUCCAACUGGUGCUCCUUGAUUGAGGGAUUAAUCAACAAAAUUUAUAACCUAUUACACCAUAUACUAGGGUAGCAAAGACAAAGCUACUAUAGCAUAGUGGCUCUAGGAUCGUUCACUAGGAUGGGUUUUCACUUCACAAAUGAUAUUAAUUCAAAGCUGAAUUGGUGUCUUUUCAUUUCAAGGUUAGCUUUAAAAGAAAACAUAAAGAUGUUUGAAUGAAAAGAGAUUGAUUUUAAGCUAACCAAAAAUAGUAAAUGAUUUUACUUACAAAGAAAAGUGUUUCUUGGAGUUUCAGAUCACUAGGCUCAGAUUCCUCAUACAAAAAGGGAGUUCCGGUCACUUGUUUCUUUUCCUCGCAUUAGAGAAUUAACAUAUAGUUCCUUCUCCAACCGGUUGCUAUACAGAUGCUUCCCAUUAAUGGGUUCAAACACUAAAUCCCUCUCACUGAUGCAACUUGCAAUGGUUCAUGCCUCUCACGAGCACUUACCAUUCAAGAUGAUCUUUAACCUUGGAUUACCCGUCAAAAGCUCGCAAGAGAUAACUAAUGGAUGUCUCCUUGGAGUCCAAAAGCUUACCAAGUGUUGGCAAUUCCAGAAAAUCCUACCUUCAAGUCACCUCCCAAAGGCUCGCAAGAGGUAAACUAGUGCAUCUCCAUGGUUGGAGAUCACUUGCCUUACCAAGUGUUGGCCCAGGUGAUUUAAAGGCGUUUUAAGUUAACUAAAAACAUAGAAAUCACUAACGGGUCACACUUUCUCUUCAUUAAAAACUAAAACAACAAAACUUCCAAAUUAUGCAUGUGGAAACUUACCCGGCUUUCCUCACUCCAAAAGACAAAAAGCUUAGCCUCUCAUCCUCUGAGGAAAAAUCCUCAAAGUUUGGUUGGCUAGAAAUAAAAAGAAAUGAAAAAUGAAAGAGAAGGGAAAAACAGAGCAAGGCUCUGUAUAUUCUAUAUAUUGAUCGAUGGAUUACAUAUAUGAUGAUUUUACAGUGGAUGCAAGGGAGUUUAUAUAGGAAGGUAAUUUACCCUUCCUUGGAUACUUUCUAGCUAAGGAAUUACAUGAGUGGUUGAAUACAAGGAGAAAAUGGAAAUUAUAUAAAAAUAUCUAAAGAAAAGAUCUAAAAGAGUCGGUGCAUAAAUAUCGGGAAGCUCCAGGAAUCAUUUCGCAAGAGAAAAUGGUGUUUGCGAGAUUUCGCAGACACUCAAGAGGGCUGCGAAAUCACUUCGCAACAUCAAGCUAUUCUCGUAGGGCUGCGAAGUUGGCUUCCACCUUGAUGUUCUCAGCUUCCAGCUUGCGGCAUAUAUCGGGCAACUUCAGGAGGAAAUCCACAACACUGUACAAAAAGGCUGCGAAAUUCUCGCAACAAAAGGCUGAUUCCGCAACACUUUAGAGUGAUUGACUUGCAAUGGCUGUAACUUCUAUAUUUCAACUCCGAAUUGCACACUGUUUGAAGCAUUGGAUUCUUGACUUCCUGAGCUUUGAAAUGGUAUAUAGAAUGUAGAAAAUGGACUUCGGGAAGUGCUCCAAAAGUGCACAAGAAGACUGCAGCUGCUGUCCUAUGUUUUCUUCACUCUGUUUUUCCUCUCUCCUUGCUUCUCUCCUUGCAUACUUUGAACGACUUUGGCAAAGGGAUAUGGGGCUCCAAAGCUUGGUUCUUCAUGAAUUUGAGCUCUUCAUAGCUUUGCCAUGGUUUCCAAAUAACUCUCCUCAAUCUUGGAUUGUUUUGGUGAUCAAAUUACUAACAAAAACACCAAAACUUACACAAUUUGGUUAGAAUUGAUUGCAAGGGUCCUUAACAUGUUAAUUGAGUUAAAAGGCAAUAACUACUACUCAAAAGUGUUUAAAAGGAUUAAUUACAAGCUACAAAAUAGCACUUUUUGAGUAGUAAUCAGAUUAAAUUAUAAUAUUAUAAUUUGUUUUCUUCUACUUUCGUGAAAUCAAAUAUAGGAAAAGUACUCUUAGACAUUUCAAAGCAAUUAUUGUUGAUUUUAAAUUAACAAGAUAAAAAACAUUAAUAGUUUGUCAAAAAUUGUUAUUCGAUUUUCUAUUUGCAACAUGAAGAUCCAAAAAAUUCAUAGUUCCUAUAAUGUUUGAACAUAUCUUUACCAUUUUUUUUCUUCUUGAUCUAACAACAAGCUUGACUGCACAAAAGUGAUGAGGGUGAUGUUCUUCCUAUGCUCUCCUCUCCUUUUUUUAACUUUUAUAUCCCCCCUCAACAGUAUAGUUUUAAGGUAUAUCACUUUAAUCCUGAUGGACUAAAGGCCCAUAAUUUAUCUCAAUGGGUCAAAGUGAAGCCAUGGGCCUCUUCACAGUACGUUAAAUUGAUUAUGGCCCAAAACAAUACCCAUGCACAACCAAAUAUAGUUUACAAUAGACCUAGUUCACAGUACAUUAAAUCGUUUUUCCAACUACAUUGCUACCAUCAUUGACGUCCUCAUCACUAACGAGGCCUAGACUCCGAUUCUCUCUUUUCUUCUCCGAAAUACUCUUGUGUAUUUCAAAUUCAGAGCCAAAAUCUGGUCAAAGAGAAACAACAACCCGAAAUUCAGCCCGAUCGACCAACUAUUGAUGAGAGGUCUUUAAAGAUUGUAGUCUUCUUCGCUUCAUAGUGAAGAAAUGCAUAGUCGGGGACCGAAUCACCGGCUAUUUGGUUCGGCUUUCAGAUCUCAAGUUUUGGUUCUCAUGCUAGCCAUGUUGACACCAUGGCAUGGAUUUACGUUGUCAGCCGGUGAGUUCUGGCACUGUUUCAUGUUGUGAAUUGAUUUUCGUUUCUUAGCUGUAAUAGUGCUUUAUGGUGUGGUUAAUUUCAUUGAUUUAGGUUUUUGUUUUGUGAUGCUUUGAUUUUGAUUAUAAUUGGUCUAUUUGUUUCAAAAAAAAGAAAAUGUUUUUAUGGAAAUCUGUUUUCGGUAGGCUACGGCUGGAUUAUGAGAAUGGGGCUUAUUUGAUUAAAGGCUGGAUAGGAGAACUAGUCAGGUAUGUUUUUUUAUCUUUACUUUUAUGUAUUACCAUUUGUUAUUCAAUUGUAGCUUCAAAUUUUCUUCCCCACAGUUUGUUAAUGCAUUUUUUGGGACUAUUUUGUUAUCGAGAUUAAAUUAUAGAAUUAUAAUGAUACAAAGGGGGUCUUGACAUUGUAUGGAACCAGAAUCAGUCCAUCAUGGUUUAAAUUAAUUAUACGUUCUAUAGCAUUACAUUACAAUGCCAAAUAAAUUAGUGAUUUGCAUGAGCUCAUGCCUUUUUCUUUCUUUCUUUCUGUUUUUGUCUUUUUUUUUUCUUUUAUUGAAACUAUUUGAGAUGAUACCAGCCUUUUUUUAAAAAAAAAUUAAUCAUUCGGAGUAAUUGACUAGAUAAUGGGUUUUUCCAUUUUAAUGGUUUUUGCGUGCAAUCAGCCAAUGACACACUGAAAAUUAUAGCAUGCAAGUAAAUAACUUAUACCUAUCCUUCCUUUAUGUGGGGUUCUUUUUUUGGGGCUUUUGUUAUAAUAGACAAAAUAUAAUCUAAAGGUCAUGGUGAUGGUUCUUUUAUUUUAUAGGAAACAACACAAGAAGUUAGCAGCCCUUGAGAUGGAGCUAGCGGCAGCACAGCAGGAAGAUUUUGCCUCAAAGAACUUGUUAGAAAAUAAGGGGACUCCUCCCAAGAAAAGGCUUUUAGCUGUUGUUGGAAUUAUUACAAAGUUUAGCCACAAGAACAAUAGAGAUGCAAUCUGUAAGGGCAUGGAUGCCAACUGGUAGAAUGCCCUUCUUUUUAUAAGUUUCGCUCUUUAUUCUUUGUAUGAUUUACAUAGAGAAUGACCCAGUUGGCACUUAACACAUUGACAUUUCUGUUAUAAGCAUAUAAGGGAUAAAAAUAGGAGGCUCGUAGGCUGAACUCUUAUUAACAUGAAACCUUUUAGUGAACUUCCAUUUCUCAUCUAUUCUUUUUUCAUUGUCUUGUUUAUUUUCUCAGUUUGCAAUGGUCAUUUUCAAUAGUUUGCAAACUCCAUCAACCAAUUUGAAAAGCCUUGGAGCUAACAAGUACAAAUUAUGAGAAACUAAAAUCUUGUUUCUCUAGGAUUUUUCUAAAGUUGCUCAAAUGAAUGGAAAGCAGAAAACUAUCAAGAGGCCCUACCGCUGCCUUGCACCCUCUAUACCCCUAUUUACAAAAAAUUGGAGUUUGUCUUUAAUGUAAUAAAGGAGACAAUAGUUUGCAUAAUAAUGGAACAUGAAGUAAUAUUGUGAUUCACUACUGCAAAAAGUAAUAUUGACAUAACUUAUGUGCUCAAUUACACUUACAUGCUUAGCACAAAAGUAUGUUAUUCUUCAUUUGAGAAUAUUACUUUAAACCUUAUAUGUUAGCAUCACUUUUUCCAUAACUAAUCUUUCUUUCUUUCUCCUUAUCCAAGACAAUGCAUAUCGAGUGAUUGAUACUUAAGUUAAUAGCCUUAGCACCCACAUGAGGUGAAGUUUGAAUCCAGAAUUUCCUAAUAGUCUUAAUACGCUUCCUCAAGCGUGUUCAAACUUAAGACAUCAAUGUUAAACCACCACUUUACCCAAAACUUUUAAGUUACGCAGUAAUAGGCCAGCAAUGGGAUAUUAAGGCGACUGACAGGUAGGUUAAUAGCUUGAGCAAUUCUCUUAUAAUGUUUAAUGGUUUAAAUGUUGACAAUUAAAACACUUACAAAAGCAUGAUGACUUACCCAUCGUUUUCAUACAGAUACUCUGAAGCAACUCUUGCUACUCAUUUGAAUAAGCCUCGAGUUUAUAUUGGGUGUAUGAAAUCAGGCAAAGUUUUCUCAAAAGUUGUGAGUAUAAUCAAAGUUUUUUUUUCUCUAAUGAUGAGAAAACGAGUUGUUUAUGAUAUUCUACUUUCAUAUAUUGUAUUAUCUUUUCAUAUUGUCUGAAUUAUGUGAGAUCCACAAGUGGUAAGAACCAGAUUGGUAGAAAUUUGGUGAUGGAAAAUCAUGAGUACUUUUGUGUUGAUUUCAUCUGGUCUCUUAUAUUAGGAUAAGUAAUUAUUACUUUCUAGUUCUGUUAACUAGUCAAGAAGUCUCUUAGCAUCUCUGAAUUCAUCUGAUAAGUGAUAGAAGUCCCAAUGAACAACUAGGGCAUUGUCCCAUAAGAGGCUUGCUUGAUAGGGAGAAGUUUUUUAGGCAUUUAAACAAUUUAUCAUUCCAUCAUAUUCUUGUCAUCAAUUACACUUAAUUUGCCUACCCUUGCACCCAUAUUUUAACCAUCUCAACUCUAAUUUGUGUCAAGGUAUCCUAGAGUCUACAUAGGGAUGCCUUCUCGGGAAGUCAAGCUUACAUUGGUUGAAGAUACAUUUAGCAAAUUUAUAUGCUAGAGUGGACAAGUUAUCAUAUGAGGGUUAGGUAGCAUUUACUGAGAAUCAUUUGGAAGAUAUCUUUGAGUCCGCAGAUAAACCUCUGGAAGGAAGACAUUGGUGAUUGUUUGUCGGGGAUCCUUUUCAAUGCUUGUCAGCGUGUAUUAAUCUAUCAGAUGCAUUAAGAAGCUCCCCUCCAGAGACUACCAUUUCACACAUGCCUGUCCACCAGGUACUUCAUUCUUAGCAUGGUCACAUUCAAACUGAGAAAUGUUUACCAAGUGAAAUCAAAUUAAUCCCACUUCCUUCCUAGUCCACCCAACCCCACAAUAAAAAAGAAAUCUCAAAACUAGCUUUUAUUGGAAUUGUGUUCUAUGCAUAGGCAUAUCAUUUGUUGCCCUGUGUAUUUUGUAUAAACUCCUCCAAGCAUAUAGAUCCUCUGCAUUUACACAUGGAAAAUGACAGUCACAUGAUUGUACAUAUCCUUCAGAGUACCCCAUUUGUUACCUCAUUAUUAGGAGCAAAAAUAAUGGAUCGACCACUUCUUUCAUAGCCCUGUCUUCUGUUUGUGCUAUCCCACUAUAGUACACUUGAGAGGAUAAUAGACAUUUCCCUGACUUUACUUUUGUUUUCAUAUUAAAUGCUUAGAUUCAGGUCAUUUGUUUAUCCAAAACUUAAUCUAUGAUUGUAUUGUUCUAUCUUUUUCAAGGAUGGCUCUUGCAAUGGCUUACAACACCAUGCUGCCCUUGGAAGGGACAAGGUAGUGGAAUUUUCUGUUUUUGGUUGAUUGUUGUGGAAUUCUGAUUAUAUGAUAUGGAAGCAUGGUUUUUGAUUAGUUAGACAGUUUUUCACUCUUUUUCUGCUUUGAGGCUAAAUGUGUCUCACCUUUGAUCUUCUCUCUCUUUGAUAGAAAAAAGGAACUUUGUUAAGGAAAGAUGGUAAAAGGAUAAGGAGUUGGAAAUUGAAACCCAAGAAAGAAACCAAACUUUGUUUAAGUUUAGUGCAGUUUAUUUAAUUUGAUUUUUCAAGUAAUUUCAAAGUUUGGUUGUUUCCAGAAAGGGGAUUAUCAUCGGUAUUUGACGAGUUCAAAGGCUAGGGCAGCAAAUCAGUCUCUAAAGAGUGAAUUUUAGUUAGACCUUAGUAUUGGAGGAGAUAAAUUUUUAUUUAUUUAUUGAAGUUCCUUGUUCUUUGGCAAUAGAACUUUGUAUUGGGGAUUAUUAUUUGAUUAUGCAGUUUGGAUACAUAUACAUAUUUGGAUUAUGCAAUAUUGGAAAUUAUAAUUUUGUUGCUUCAACUAAAGUUUUAUAUAGGGAAUAGAAAAUAUAUACGGGAAAAAGUGGUAUGACCUCUUCAAUAUUGAAAUGAGAAUUUUAAUUAAAAUAUUUGAAAAAAGAAAUCAAGACUUCAGUUGUGGGCAAACAUAAGCUGUGUCCACAUAAUAAUCUAUGGCAGCGAACAAGCAAAAGUGGCAUCCAUAUGAAGCCCUAUAAUUGCGGCUGACAAAAGGUCAUGUCUAUAACAAAGCUCUCCCAAUCACAUAUAGAGCUUUUAGUUGAGGAAACAACAUGAGCGAAGGGAUAGCUUCACAACUUCUUGUGUUUUUUACUGGUGGCUGCAACUAUAGGAUUUAUCUGCAUGCCUAUGGCCUUCGCAGUUAUGAACUUAACUUCUUGUAGUGUGUAACACUUUCGCCUCGUGUAUGAUUGCAUGAACUUGCAACACAUGUACUGCACAACUCUUUGUUAAUGGUUAUAAAAAAUAGUUUUCUAUUUUUGAGAAUUGAAAAUAAGAAAAUCUUGUUUGACAAUAAGAAAAUAGUAAACAUUUUUUUUAUUUUUAAAAACAGAAAAGUUUUUGUUCUUAAAAAAAAUGUUUUAUGAGAACAUAUAUUAGUUGUUUUUAAUUGUUUUCUAGGAUUAUUUUAAAAUAAUAAUAAUAAGAUUUAUAUGAAGAAUAAUUAAAAAUAAAAUGCUACAAACCGAAACUUAUUUUUUUUGAAAAAUAUUUAAAUGUAAAAAAUAGGUUAAAAAUAUUUCAAAUUCUCAAACAAGCUUUAUUUUAUUUUUUUUAGAAUGGUUUUCAAAAUCAUUUUCUAACUAAUUUAAAGUAUAUUUGAUAGUGAUUUUAGAAAGCGUUUUUAAUUUUUUUAAUACUUGAAAGAUAAAAAAUUUUAAGUGUUAAAAAGAUUAGAAACCUUCCUAAAAUCACUAUUAAAUAGACUCUAAUUCUCCCUUUUAGAGGCUUGUAAGGGCUUUUAUAAUUUGCUUACCAAUCAUGUUAGACAUGUGGUAACCAUGUUAUGAGAUUUUGGGUUAGCAUCGGCUAGUUUGUACUUGUAUGUACUUAAUUUUUGUUUUUAAAAAUAAAAAAUGAAACUAACGUCGAUAUAAAAUAUAAAAACUUUUAGAAACUUACGUUACUUCAAAUUUCAAAUUUUUUUAUAGUGAAUUUUAAGAUAUAAGGUGAGUUUAUACUUUUGAUAUAAAAAUUUCUAUUUUUUAUAUAAAAAAAUAUUAUUAUUUUUUUGUGUAAAAAAAAGUCAAUAUAUAAAUAAUGAAAGUUGAAAGAACAUUUUUAAUGCAUAGAUUAUCUCAAGGGUUCAAAUGUGGGCUAAGUCUAAAACUUAAUAUUAAAUCUUCUCUCAUUCAAAUAAUAGUAUUUAUAAAUAAUAGAAUAUCCUAAAUAAAUAUAGUUAUGGACAAAUAUUUCAAACAGAUUUCUCAAAUAUUAGUAUCAAAAGAAAAUUUCAUUAACCAUGACGAGCUCCCUGUUUCAAUCUAAAACAUGUAAAUAAACAUAAUUAAUUUUAAUUUAAACAAGAUUUAGAUUUAUAUUAUGGACAAUAUAGUAAACCUAAAAAAUGAUCAUAAGUUUCUUAGUUCAUGACUUCGACUAAUAGAAAAAAUAUUUAUAAGCUCAAUUUUGUUGGAAUUUUAUUCAAUUCAUUCUAGUUUGAGAUUUUGUAUAUUUUCCUGUAACUUACCCUCCAUUAAAGAUACAAAAUUAUUUAAAGUUAACUAGAGAUCGGAUAGCACAAGUACACAGAGUUAUGAAAAGAAUAAUAACUUUUAAUUGAAAAAGAUUUAGGUGAUCGAGUGCUCAAGCACUUGAAUCUAGCUUUCAUGGUUUAGAGCACUCAAGUAUUGCUAGGAAGUACCCAAUAGCAAGCAAUCAAGUGCACUUACCGUGUGCUUGAGUACUCAAAAGUGGGGUUUCCAAAAAAUAAGUUUGCAUACAACACUCCUUGAGAAAAACAAUGAUCACAUACAUGUAUAUGAUCCAUGGUUUAAGUAAAACAUUUCUUAUAUUUAUAAUAAAUUUAUUUUAGAAUGUUGUUAUUAUAUUAUACCAAUGUAGUUAGGUCAUAUUUUGCUGAAUCAAAUGAAGAGAAAAUACAUUAUUUGACAAAUAUUUUACAAUUAAAUGCAAGGUUUGAAAUAUCAAUAAAUACAAAUAUAUCAGUACUUAGAUUUUACGGAUAUAUCGAAAAUAUUGAAUAAAUAUCGGUGAACAUUUUGACAAAAAUAUAAAUCUUGUUUUAAAAUUCAUGAAAAUACUUAAAAAAAACUUUCAAAAAAAAUGAUAAAAUAAAGAAUAAUAUAUAUUAAAGUUAUUUUGUAUGCUUAAAUUCUUUUAAUAUAUUCGUAUUUAUUUAUUUUUAAAUUUUAAAAGUACUUUUAUUGAAAGAUGUUUUAUUACAUUUUUAAUAAAAAAUUAAAUUGAUUUAUAUAAAAUAUUCAAAACCAUUACCCGAUAAAGACGCCUUUUGUGUGGGGAAGUAUUCAUUGCCAUCCAUGCAAAUCAAACCCACCUUUGAUCUUUAUUCACAAUUUCAUAUAUCAUAUAUAUGUCUACAAAAAUUAUAUAUGUUUAUAUAUAUAUAUAUAUAUGGGUUUGUACAUGUGGAUGUGUGAAUGAAAAGUUGGAAAAUAGUCUCUAUUGUUCUUUAUCGAAGAACGAUAGCUAGGGUUUCUAUUCGUCUCUCAUUCUCUGUAUUGUUUUGUUUCUCUUUCUUGGGGACUUACCUUUGUUUGUGAAUCGGAACCUAUGCUCAAUCAGCUUAAGAAUUACCCAGUAGUUUGUUUGCAUCAGGGGGUGUUUGGGUGGGAGAGUCUUAAGGUUUGUGAUUUGGGGGGUUUUGGUGUUGUGGGAGCUGAUUGGUGUCUGGGUUGGGAGGAAUCUAGGGUUUGUGAUAUGGGGUUUUGGUGUGGUUGAGGUGGGGAGGGAAAGAUUGAAUCUUGGGGAUUGUUUUUGUUGGUGGGGUUUUGAAGAUAGUGGAGAAUCGUGGAUCGGGUGCCGUCUAAUCGCCACUUUUCCGGUGGCGAGCAACCGUCCGAUUGGAGAGGUGGGGGCUUUUGUAUGGAAACUCGGAGCCCCAAGCGGGCGGAGGCGUCCUCAGCAGCCCGUUCUUCUGGACCGACCACCCGGUCGAGCAAGCGAUCUCGUAUCUCCUCUUCUUCUUCAAUGAUCCCAAUUUCAUCGAACCCCAACGCCCAUGCUACAGUGAAAAUUUAAUUUUGAGGGGAGAGGAGCUACACUUUGACCGAAACCAGCGUUGACCGACAAAAAUAUCGGGAAAUUUCCCAACAAAUAGGCAAAAACCGAUAUUUCGACGAUAAUUUAAAAAAAAUAGCGAAAUUCCUUCCAAUCGAUUAUCCGUCCUCAAUAUCGUAUCGAGCUUCACCAAUAACCGAAAUAUCGGGGAAAUUUCGCCGAUAAAAAAGACAUUUCAAUCACUGAUUAGAGGUGAUGAACACUGAUGUUAGUAAUUAGGUUUGCCAUAUUUUUCAAUAAUGUACAAUUAGCUUAAUUAGUUGAAGCUUAUACCAAAAAUAUAUUUGAAUCAAUAAUGGACAAAAAUUUCUGACUGGUACUUAGUGAUAAUCAACUACCAAAUUAUCAUAAACAUAGAAGUUGAAAGGAUAAUUUUAAGGCACAGAUGACUCUAAAAUAUCAAAACUAGGCUGAGGUGGUGUUUGUUUUUUUACUUAAUUCUAAAUAAAACUUCAAUACUUAAUAGUGUUAAAUAUUAGGUUGUUUGUUUUUGUAGUAUUUUAUUUCUAUUAAGUAUUAAAAAGUAAAGAAAAAUCAAUAUGUUAUUUUUUCCGUUUAGAAAAAGCUACAUAUUUUGGUUUUUUCUAUUUAGUAAAAAGUCUAUAAUAAGUCAAGAAAAAGUAGAAAAACAAACAACCUAAAUUCUGAAAACAAAGUGCUUUCAGCAAAAAACUAAAAAAACAAACACCAUCUGAGUAUCCAACUUAAUAUUACAACUUUUCUUACUUAAAUGACAAUUUGCAAAUAACAAACCUACCUAAAGAAAAAUAAUUGCUUGCCAACAUUUCAAAGAUAAGUUCUCAAACACUCGUGCCAAAGAAAUCUUCAUUACCACUAAGAAUUCAUCAUUGUAUUCAAUCUGAAACAAGUAAAUACACAUAAUUAGCUUCAAUUUAAGCAACAUUUAGAUUUUCAUCAUGGAAUAUAAAUAGCAUGUUCAUUAUUAUUAUUAUUAUUAUUAUUAUAUAAUUAAUUAAUUAACAACAUAAUAUUAACAAACUUGGUUAUAGAGACUAUUUAAAUUCUUAUAGUUUUCAUACUUAUGGUAUUAACCAUACUCAAAUGAGUAUAUUUGUCAAUAAAUUUAGAGUUUCAACUAACAACCUAUAACAAUCUAUAACCUUAGCUGCUUGUUUGUAUAUUUUUUGGAAUUCAACCUUGGAAAAAAUUUCAUGUAUCUUAAUCUUUCCUAUGAAAAUCGCAUUCUGUAACUUCAAAGAGUUGAACCCAAUUAUAAACUUCCUCAAUCCUCUUUCUAAUGACUCAAACUAAGAAAUUGAUUACCCUAUGCAUUGUAUUUAGGAACUUAAUUGUAGUAAGGAAAGAGAAACAACUUAUAUUCAUAUGCAUGGUUGAAGGGUCUAAAAAUAUGCCCCUUACUAUAACAUGCUUUGAACAUUUAAAGCAAUAUACUUUUAGUAAAAUCUAAGUCCAACAAGACUACAAUUCAAUUUCUUUUGUAAAUUUAAAUCAUUAUUUCCAAUUCAAAAUUUUAAGAAAUCAUAUAAUAAAAUAUAAGUAUAAAAAGAUUAAUAGCUAACAAAUAUGUACCUAAACGGAGAUGACCUUACAUUACAUUGUAAUGAAAUUCAUCUUACCUUCAUUUUGUAUGAUGUUUGUUAUUUUGAAACCUUAUCACCCUCUGCAAAAGAGCUGAAUUCAUUGUGAUGAUAAUCAUAACACACCAAAAAUACAAUGAAAUUAAAAAACAAACAAGGAAGAAAAAAAGAAGGAAAAAGAAUGGGAAGUGAUGUAAGAUAUUUCACCUUUUUAGCCAUGAACUCCAUUUGCUUCCAUCUUCCUUUUCAGACGAGCCACAUUCACUGCAGUGAAGACAUAUAGCCUAUCUCUGGUUUCAUCAAUGAACCGGAAAUAUGCCUGCCUCUAAGACUUCUUUAGAACCAAACUGCCACAUACAACCCAAAAUCCCACCGGAAACCCCAAUCCCAUGCUUAUGAAGAACCAUGACAUGUCCCAUUCAUCUUCAUCUUCCUCCUCAUCUUUGUGAUCUUGAUCAUUUAAAGUGGAGCAGUUGGUUGACAAUGGAGGCCCACAAAGUCUGAGGUUCGCCUCAUAAAUGGAUGGAUCGUUGAAUGUCGAGAACUGGUUGGUUUUUGGAAUUGGUCCUGACAGGCGGUUAUGCGAUAGGUUCAAAUGGUUCAAUGAGGUUAUAGAAGACAUGCUCGGAGGAAUUGGGCCUGAAAGGCAGUUGCAUGAGAGGUCAAGAGUUUCUAGCCCUUGCAUGGCUCCAAUCUUCUCAGGUAUCUUUCCAGUCAACUGGUUUCGGGACAAAUUCAAGGUACCCAGGGUCGAGAGAUUUGUGAUCUCUUUUGGGAUCUCUCCCCAAAUGUUAUUGCUAGAAAGAUCUAUCAAAUUCACAAUUGGCAAUAUGCUAUCAAAUUCCAUAUUUUGUCCCUUUACAACUAGCUCCAUGCGCUCCGAAUAGGCGACAUGACCAUUGGGGUCGUCAAAAUUUCUGUCUAAUAAGGUCACAAAACUUAAAGCAGUUAAAUUGCCUAAGCAUUGUGGGAUGGAUCCUGAUAAAUUGUUCACUGCAAGAUCCAAAAUGUGGAGAUGAGAAAGCCAACACAAUUGCUCAGGAAUAUCUCCUGUCAACAUGUUGCCCCGUAGACGCAGCUGCUCCAGUGAUGGCAUUCUUUCUCCAAUCCAUUUGGGUAUCUCCCCCGAAAACCUGUUAUUUCCAAGAUCAAGGGAGUACAACCCUGUGUAGUUUCGUAAGCUUGGAAAGGGUUCCCCAGAAAGAUUGUUGUCACCCAAUAUCAACUGAGUAAGUGAAGAUUUUGAACACAUCCAACUCGGAAUCCCACCAGACAUUUUGUUCUUGGAUAGAUCUACAGUGUCAAGCCAUGGCAAAUCAUUCCAAUUCUUUGGAAUCUUUCCAGAUAAAUGAUUGUUUGAGAGAUUAAUUACUCCCAAAUACUUCAGUUUACUAAUUGAUGAAGGAAUGCUGCCAUUUAACAAGUUACAAGAAACAUCAAGGAUUUCCAAGCUUGAUAAUUCCCCGAUGUUUAAGGGAAUUGGACCAGAAAAUGAAUUGUUUCCCAGAUACAAAGAUCCCACAUUAAGUCGAAGUGGGAGUGGGCCCCCCAAGUGGUUGAAACUUAAAUCCACCAAUGCGCCUUGGCUGAAGGAUAAUGAGUUGGGAAGCGUUCCAUACAAUUGGUUUCUAGAAAGAUCUAACCACGAAAAAUCUUGUUUCCAAAGCCAUUCGGGUAUUGCAUCUGAAAUCCCCACAUUUUUUAGAAUCAUAAAUCCAAGUCUCUUUUGAGUUCUAAGCCAGUUGGGGAACUUGAGAGAUACAUGGAAGUUGUAAACCUCGAUAGAUUCGAGACUGAAGGGAGGAAUCCAUUCAGGUCUCAAAUGAAAACGGAGAGACUGGUUUUUGGGUGAUACGAGUAAUGAGAAUUUUUCCAGUUUAGUAAGAUUACUAAAAUGAAUUUCAGAUAUUACCCCUUCCCAAGAAUUCCAAUCAAGAUACAACUCAGUCAGCUCUCUAAGUUGUCCGAUACUUUUUGGAAUAGUCCCAUUCAUUAGAUUGUUUGACAAGUCAAGUCUCUUCAUCCGCCGCAAGUUUCCAAUCCAUGUUGGAAUUGGACCUGAGAUGAAGUUUUCAAUCAGAUAAAGAAUCUCUAAGUUGGUAAGGUGUUGAAUUGAAUUGGGGAAGGGACCAACAAAACUAUUGUUCAUCAAGUUCAGGUACUUUAAAUUCUUAAAGAGCCCUAAUGAAUCUGGCAACUGACCACCGAAUUGAUUAUAACCCAAGUUUAACCAUUCCAAGGAAUUAUUAGUGCAUGUUGAUAAACCAUUCACCAAUUCAAUUGCUUCACUUCCAAUAUAAUUGAAUGAGAGAUCUAAGGUCACCAAGUUGCGAAGGCUUCCCAAGUUAACACGGGGAAUCGGACCUUUAAUUGUAGCACCAUUUAAAUAAAGAUCCAUAAGGGUACUGAUAUUAAACAACCAGCCAGGCAAAGUAGUGUUGAAAUUGUUGUAGGAGAGAUCAAUGACCGAAACAGAAGUCAAAUUAACAAACGGAUUGGAGUACUGAGGGAAGUGACUGAGAUGACAACCGGACAAAUGUAAUUCUAACAAAAAUGGAAGCAUGUUUACAGCUUGCAUCCAAUUUGUGGUUGCUUUACUAAGGUCCACAUACGCCAGAUCAAGGUAUUUUAAAGAAGAAAGACCAGAAAGCCAAUUUAAAUUAGAAACCCUCAUUGGAUAAUCUCCUCCCAAAAGAUCAAGAUAACGUAACUGUGAUAAAUUUCCAAGAUGAGGAGGAAUCAUCCCACCAAAUCGUGCAUUAGAGAGAUUAAGGUAUCUCAACCUUUCAAAUGAGCCCAAGAAAUUUGGAAUUGGAAUUCCUUGAAAAUCAUUAAGACUUAGGUCCAGGUAAGUUAAAUGUUUCAAGUCAAGUAAGGAACCACUUAUCUCACCACCCAAACGUGAGAAGCCACCACCCAAACGUGAGAAGCCACCACCAGAUUUGAGGUCAACCUUGACAACAUGCCCUGUUUGGUUGUUGCAAUCCACACCUUUCCACUUGCAGCAAUCUGCACCAACCCAGGAAGAAAGCCUACCUGAAGGAUCUUUCAGUCCAUUUUUGAAUUCAAGAAGCGCUUUCCGCUCUACCUCAAUGC
rnacentral:lncRNA from 1 species